rnacentral:lncRNA from 1 species
AAAGAAAUAAUUUUCUCUUUUGAUGUUUUGUCGUUAUUGUUGACUGAGACGAGAAAGAAAUAAUUGCUCGUUUGGAUAUUCUCUAUAUUGUAAAAGAAUUGCUUAUUAGAAUUGCUUAUUAGAAUUGCUUCAAAGCAGUUUUACCAGUUAUAAUUCAUCAGCUCCUACUCUUUGCGUUCAAUUCUCAAUCAAGAAACCCUCUCCUGACUUUCAGCUUUUAACCUCGAACACGCUCUGAUUCUGUUUAUUGUACCCACUGCUAUUGCUAGCUGUUCCCUUAUUUUGCUUUGCUCCCUUCUGCCAUCAGCUCUCUGUAUACUCAUUGGAUCAAGAAGCCCUUUUCAAUUUUCUGAUCUCAACAACACUUUGAUUCUCAUCUAUUACACUGAUUUUUUUUCCUUGUUUUGCUCAAAUACAAUUUCUCUCCCUAAUUUUGUCCCGUUCCCUUUCGCCGCCAUCUGUUUGUUCUUCGCUUCUUCAUUGAUUAACAAUUGUCCAGUCGUUUCACCUGUUCUUUUUCUGUUCCUUUCACUUCAGAUCAAUCCAUCCUCGCACAACCCCCCCCCCCCCCCCCAAAAAAAAAAAAGAAAAAAGAAAAAAGAUUGAAGGUGAUGGAAUGCAUUGUUACUGUCGUUUUAGAGGUUGUAAAAUGCUUGGCUCCUCCAACACAACAACAACUUCGUUAUUUGCGUAGUUCCAAUGCCAACUUUGAGAAUCUCAAGGCUGAAAUCGAGAAUCUUAAGGAUAAAAUUAGGAGCAUUCAGCGCAGAGUCUCAGAGGCUGAAAGAAAAGGAGAAAAGAUUGAAGAGGAGCUUGAGAAAUGGCUGGUUAAUGCGAAUAAGAUCAUUGAGCAUGCAGACAAAUUCAUUGACGACGAGGAGGCAACAAAUAAGCGAUGUCUCAAGGGUCUGUGUCCUAAUCUGAAGACCCGCCAUCAGCUUAGCAAGAAAGCAGAGGCAGAGGUGAAGGCAAUUGUCAAAAUCCGAGAAGAAGCUGGGAGAUUUGACGAUAGAAUUUCCUACCGUACGAUUCCGGAGGAGAUAUGGCUCAAGUCUCACAAAGGCUACGAGGCCUUCGAGUCAAGACUUUCUACCUUGAAGGCCAUACAAAAUGCAUUGAUCGAUGUUAAUGUUAGUGUCGUUGGGGUGUACGGCAUGGGCGGCAUUGGAAAGACGACACUGGUGAAGAAGGUCGCCAGGCAAGCUAUGGAAGAUAAACUCUUUGAUAUGGUGGUCUUUUCAGAGGUUUCGCAAACUCCAGACAUAAAAAAGAUUCAACAGGAAAUUGCCGAGAAGUUGGGCCUGGAGUUGCACGAGGAAGUUGAAUCUGGAAGAGCAAGUAGACUAUUUGAGCUAUUGAGAAAUCACAAGAAGAUCCUUGUCGUUUUAGAUAACAUUUGGAAACACCUUGAUUUGGAGACAGUUGGAAUUCCUUUUGGAGAAGAUCAUAAAGGCUGCAAACUACUGCUGACGGCAAGAGAUCGUAGUGUCCUCUUAAAAAUGGGUUCUAAAGACAACUUUUUGAUAAACAAUUUAAAUGAAGAAGAAGCCUGGAGAUUGUUUAAGAUGAUGGCCGGUGAUGAUGUUGAAAAUCGUGAGUUGAAAUCUACAGCAAUAGACGUCGCCAGGGCAUGUGGAGGUUUGCCCAUUGCCUUGACUACAGUAGCAAAGGCACUGAGAGGCAAGAGUCUGUAUGAAUGGAAGAAUUCCUUGCGAGAACUCCAAACGCCUUCAAUGGUAAACUUCGAAGGGGUAUCUGCAGAGACUUAUUCAAGUAUUGAGCUCAGUUUCAACCAUUUAAAAGGUGAGCAGCUCAAGAAAAUUUUUCUGCUCUGUAGUCUAAUGGAGAGCCAUAUUACUUUGGACUUGUUUAAGUACUCCAUGGGUUUGGGUAUAUUUAAAGGAGUCAAUAAGAUGGAAGAUGCACGAGACAAAUUAUAUGCAUUGGUCCAUGAACUUAGAGACUCUUGUUUGUUGCUUGAGGAUGAUAGCAAUGAACGAUUUUCAAUGCAUGAUGUUGUUUGUGAUGUCGCAAUAUCAAUUGCAUGCCGCCACCAACAUGUGUUUUUGGUGAGAAAUGAUGAGGAUGUGUGGGACUGGCCAGAUGAGGAUGCACUUCGAAAAUGCAAUGCUAUCUCUUUAAUAAAAAAUAGUAAUUGUGAAUUUCCUGAAGGAUUAGAAUGCCCAAACCUUGAACUUUUAUAUAUUUCUCUCAAAGAUUCUUCUCUUGAAAUCAAUAUUCCUGAGAACUUUUUUGUAGGGAUGAAAAAGCUUAGAGUUCUAGAUUUUACUCGAAAGCUGUUUUCUUCAUUUCCAUCUUCAAUUGAUCUUCUAGUAAAUCUUCACACACUAUGUCUGGAUCAAAGUGCGUUGGGGGACAUAGCAAUCAUUGGGAAGUUGAAGAAUCUAGAAGUCCUUAGCUUUUUGAUGUCUGAUAUUAUGCAGUUGCCAGAAGAACUAGGUCAAUUGAAUAAGUUGAGAUUGUUAGAUUUAACCAAUUGUUUCCAUCUAAAAGUUAUUGCGCCCAAUCUCAUAUCAAGCUUAACUCGAUUAGAAGAUCUGUAUAUGGGUAAUUGCUCCAUUGAAUGGGAGGUUGAAAGAGCCAACAGCAAAAGAAGUAAUGCUAGCCUUGACGAAUUGAUGCAUUUACCUCGGCUAACCACUCUAGAAAUUGACGUUAAAAAUGACAGUAUGUUACCAGAAGGUUUUUUGGCCAGAAAGCUCGAAAGGUUCAAAAUAUCUAUUGGAAAUGAGUCAUUCAUGCCUCCCAAGAGUGUUAGACAAGCUUGGUUUAAAAGUCGGCCGCGCUUUUCGAUCCACAGUUAUCGCAAGAGUGUAAGAGCAUUGAAGCUCAAGCUUGAUUUUAUGGACAUUUGCUCCAUGAAAUUGCAGGGCAUCAAUAACGUUGAAUACUUAUGGUUGGACAAGCUGCAAGGCACUGAGAAUGUUCUUUUCAAUUUGGACACGGAGAGCUUUUCACAAUUGAAGCUUCUCUGGGUUCAAAAUAAUCCUGACUUCUUUUGCAUCGCCGAUUCAAGGGCGAUGGUCGCUUGUGAUGCCUAUAGCUUAUUUUUAACUUUGAAAAAUAUGACAAAGCAUCGAUAAAUUAAUACUCAAUAAAUUAAAAACUUUUAUUAUACAAUAAUCUUUGCUAGUCUAGACUAAGGGAUCAAUGUGGUAGAUUAAUAAUUAUAUGAACUGUUUUAGGUAUAGCAUUUCUAAAAGAAUCCUUAGUCUUUCCAUAUAAAAGAACUUACAAAAUAAAUUAGUAAUUUAUUAUUGUGCAAUAAAAUAAUUUCGUUUUUUUCCCUAAUUUCUUUUUUACCUCUAAAAUUAGCAUAUAAAAAAUCAUUUAAUAAAUUUUAUCAAUAAUUCAAUUUUUUUUUUAAAAUAUAAUAUAAAAUAAAUACUAUAAAAUCACUGUGUGUGACCAUAGAUCAUCAAUUGACCUUAUUAGUUAUUUUGAUUGAUGAUGAUAUCUUACCCAACUUGACGGCACUAUCACUAAGUGGAAAAGAUGUGAAGAUGAUUUUGCAGGCCGAUUUCCCACAACACCUUUUUGGCAGUCUUAAACAACUAGAGAUUGUUGGAGAUGACUCAGCUUGUUUUCCAAUCUGGAACGUACUGGAGAGAUUUCACAAUCUCGAAAUACUCAUACCGUUUUUGCAUUCCACGAAGAGGUAUUUUGGAUGGAAGGAUGCUUAGAGAAACAUGUGGGGAAGUUGGCAAUGAUAAAAGAAUUAAAGCUGCACCGGCACUAUCAUCUGAUGCAGCUGUGCAAACAAGACUCCAAACUUGGCCCCAUUUUUCAGUAUCUUGAAAUUCUAAAAGUAUAUAAUUGUCAAAGUCUGUUAAUUCUAUUGCCAUCAUCAUCGGUAUCUUUUGGGAACCUAACAAAACUUGUAGCUUUCGAUUGCAAGAAAUUGAUACACUUAGUAACAUCCUCCACAGCAAAAACUCUGGUGCGACUCGUAACAGUUCAAGUAUAUGGAUGCAGAGCAAUGACAGAGGUGGUAAUAAAUGACAAAGACGGGGUUGAAAAAGAAGAGAUUGUUUUCCGCAAAUUGAAGACGUUGGAUCUGCGUGAUUUAGAUAGCCUCACAAGUUUCUGCUCUGCCAAUUACACCUUCAAAUUCCCAUCUUUGCAAGAUUUGUGGGUGAUUGGUUGUCCCAAGAUGAAGAUUUUCACUACAGGAGAAUCAAUCACGCCUCCAAGAGUAAAUGUCCGGUAUGGAGAGACAGCGGAUCAACGGCGCUGGGCUAAUAAUGAUCUAAACUCAACCAUACAACAAUUACAUGCUGAGAAGGUACGUAUAUACAUGUAUAUACAUCUUUACAAAAUUUGCUUUCUUAAAUACAAUAUAGAUAAGAUAUUUGAUGAAUAAGAAUUUUACUUUCAGCUGUUGGCGGUGCAGUCGGCGAUCUCUACCCAGUACUAAUUUCAUAGGCUUCUUAUGACUUGGGAGUUGUGAAUUUUUAGAAGAAAGCCUCAGCUGGUAAUUAAUUUUUAUUUCAUUUAUUUGAUCUCAUGGCUUGUUUCGCAAUUUCAUCUGAAUUAUUUAGAAUGGGUCAAUCGGCUUACUGUUAAAUUUGGAAUGCAAUUUUAAUGAUUCGUUCAGACUUUUGUGGACAGAUUUUGCAUCAUUGAAUGUCUUCUAGUCUAGUUUAAUUUGAGUAUUUUUUUUCUUUUUUUCUUUUUUUGAGAGUUCCCCUUGUUUUCUAAAAUUUUAUAAUUCCUUGCAUACUUUGUAUGAUAAAAUUUCAUUAAAAGCCUUCAUAUUUUAUAAUUCCUUGAAAACAUCAUUGCUGUUCUGUUAUUUUAGUUUGUUCAUUUAGUUUGGUUUGCUUCACACCUAUCUUUGUUUGGAAACUUUUUUUUAUUUUUUUGAUGAUCUUUCCAAAUGCUCUCCCCUAUGAACACAUAAUUAAGACCAGCUGAAAAUCAUUCAUCGGAUAAAAAAUAAAAAAUAAACAAAAUCUAAUCAGAGCAUUAUGCCUAGAACAAAUCCUUAGACCAUCAAAGCAAAACUCUUCGCUAUGAAAAACUAUAUUGUGGAAAUAUUGUUUGAAAACGUUGGAUACCAAGAAAGGGACUAAUCUGGUCUAGUUUUAUGAGAAGUGCAGAAGAACAGUAUUUUCUCUGUUGUUCCUAUUAAAAUUCUUUACUAUGUGAUUGUAGAAUGUCUGGAUACUGAUGAAGAUUCAGGUAACUCUUCUCCUGUGCAUCAUUUGAAAUAAGUUUUUUUUUUUUUUUUGGUAAUAUCUCCUACUGGGUUAUAGUUCAUACAAAGAGAAAUUCUUAAAUCAAGCCGGAUACUGGUAGAAACAAGUGGGGAAGUAGGCACUGAUAAAAUGGUUAAUCCUGUCCAGACUUAAUCAUUGAAGCAACUCCAAACUGGACUCCAUUUUAAAUAUCUUGACAUUCUAAGACUAUUUUACAAGCAUUUAAGUCUAUUCACAUGAUCAUCUAUAUCUUUUGGGAAUCUAAAAGAACUGUUGGUUUUCCAUUGCAAGGAAUUGUAACAUCCGUCCACUACAGCAGAAAGUCUAGUGCGACUCGUAUCAAUGAAGGUAGCUGGAUGCAGGGCAAUGACAGAGGUGGUAAUAGGUGACGGAGAAGAAGACGGAGCACCAAAUUUAAAUUCAAAACAAGAGAUUGUUUUCAGCAAAUUGAAGACAUCGAGUCUGUGUGAUUUAGAUAGUCUCACAAGUUUCUGCUCUGCCAAUUACGCUUUCAGAUAAAGAUUCUUGAAAUUGUCCUAUUUACAGCUGACAUUUCCACAAGAGUUAGAGAAAUAUAAAAAAUUCAUUAAUCGUUAGUUUUUAAUUUCAUUAUUCAAUGAAAAGUCCUGUCAAAUUAAAUUGCAAAUCUCAAUGUGCAAGUACCUAAAUUUACAAAAUUUACUUUAAAUUAAUGAAUGAAAGAAUUUAUUUUCUGCUGUUGGAGGAGUCGUCAUCUCUCUCGACAUAGUAUACGAUAUGUUUUGAUCCCAUAGGCUUUUUAAUAUAUUACCUUGUGUUGUUUGAUCUCUAGGUUUAUUUGCAAUGCGUCAGUUGGUUUAUUUGUUAAUUUUGGAAUGAAGUUGAUGCAGCUGAUGGUUGCAUAGGAUGAGUAGGAUAUCACUCCUAGAUCAUAACUUGAUCUAACAAUAUUGUGUAGGUCUUUUGUGACUCCAACAAUAAAAAAACUCAAUAUUUUUUUUAUAGAGCAAUAUUUGUUAAAGCAUGAAGAAAGGCAGAAAUAUUGUAAAUCCAUCUCAACUUUUCUGUUUAUUGUGGUCGCUGCUAGCGCUGGCUGUUUUCUUAUUUAACUUUGUUCCCUUUUGCCAUCAGCUCUUUGCAUUUUCAUUGGAUCAAGCGACCCUUUUCUUGCUUCAAUUUCUGAUCUCAAAAGCACUUUGAUUCUCUUCUAUAAUUCUGUUACACUGAUUUUCUCCUUAUUUUGUACAAAUAUCAUUUCUCUUUCCCAUUUAGCCUUGAUUUGCUUCAACUUGACUAUCAAUUGCCAAGUUGACCCUGUUGUAUUUUUAUUUUGUUCACUUCAAAUAGACCCAAAAAAAAAAAGAGAUGUUGAAUAAAGCCUAAAAUCUAAUUUGAUUUUUAAUCUGAUUUAGCUAAGAUGUCCAAUUUAAUAUUAAUAGCAAUGUUAAGGAUUCUAAUAAUUGGGUCCCAACUGAUAUGAUAGUCAUUUAUUAGAUGAUCGAAAUAUUAAUUUUACUAAUUAUGAAAUUCAUUAUCUAAUAAAAAAUGACACAUAACAAUUGGGUCUCAAGUUAGAAUUCAAAUAUUGGAAUUCUUAACAUUAUUUUAAUAUUAAAAAAUUCAUCAAAAUAAUAUAUAUUAUCUAAAAAAAAUAAAAAAUCUAAAACCAUAGAUUUACCCUUCAAUCUUCGUGAUUUGGCUGAUUUCUUUUAAAGCUUUGGUUUCUUUGGAAGUGCAACGAGAAAUAGUAAUAAGAUUAAAAAAGCAAUGAAGUAAAACUUUAAAAUUUUUAUUUUUUUAUAUUUUUAUGGGUCAUUUUACCGGCACUGGCGUUUGAUUUUCUGACUAAGCUACUGUUUAGUUCUAAGUUUUCAAUUACCCGGACUGCUCUGUUUUGUGUAUCAUCGACACAAUAAGGCUUAGCAUUUAAAAGUCGGCAGCCACGCAACUUCUUGGAAUCUUUGUGCAAGUGUUGGAUAUCGACUGUUCGAUAAUGAUGGCAGCAUUUGACUGGAGUGUAAUUGACGCAGUGGAAUAAGGAUCACAUGUCUCAAACUUUUGGUGAAGAUAUUGUCAGAUAUUUUAUUGAUUAAAGGAUCACAAAUAAUGGAUAUUGGAUGAGAAUCACAUGUUUUAUGGGAUUUACUAUGUUGCAACAGUGAUACCAUACCACUGUUUUUGUCAUUAUUCAUUGCGGCCGUUGGAUGGUAACUUAUUUAAUCUAAUGGUUUAAAUUAGUUAAUGGAGAAAUGACGCGGCAACUUACAACCCUUGCAGCCGGUUCUGUAUUGAUCUAAUAGCAUGGAGUAGUAAGCGUGCGUUUCAAAGAUGCUAAGAUACACUAAAUCCCACUAUUUCCAUACUCAUAAUCACAAGCUUACCUCAAAAAAUGAAGGGAGAAUACGAUGAAGAAGAAGAUGGCCAGUGUUUUACGCCGUUCGCCGGCAACCAGUUAGGUUUACGAUGGUGGCUAGUAACACGGAGUCCAGCGAAUAGUAGCAUACCGAACGGCUCUUUACCGUCACGUGGUUAGUAACAUAUGUGACCGCAGUGUGGCCGUCACAUAAAAGGUAUUGGGGUUACAAAGUUAGUGAUAUACGUAAUGGCUGCUUUUGCAUUCACAUUAGGGGUCACAUAUACCCUAUUUUUCUUGUAGUACAUGGUAAAUUCUAUUUGAAAAUUGCUAAGUAUUUUAGAUUUGUACAAAUUCAUUUUUGUGUGCUGGUGCCUGGUUGGAUAAUAAUAUAUAAUAAAUUAAAUUUUUGGUGUAAUUUUCACAAUAUUGUAUUAUAAAUAUGUAUCGUUGAGAGGUUUUGAAAUCGUUUUGAUUGAUCAUAAUUGAUAUUUCCACAGUUGUAAAAGAUGCCAGAGAAAAUUUGAUUAUCUUAAGAAAUGAGUGCAUGAGAUAUGAAAUCAACCAUACCGUAAAAUCAAAUUUUAUCGUGUCAUCCUUCUUGGUUCAAAUUUAUGGAAACAAUAAUCAAAUGCAUCCAUGAACUAGUAUAUUCCAACAUAUGUACCAUCAAAUUUUUGCUAUGUCAUACUUAUGUAUGUGUGUGUGUGUGUGUGUUUGUGUAUAUUGAAAUUUUAAUAACAACAAUUGGGGCAAGCAUAUGUUGGUACUUGAAGAUUUAUAAGCUCCAUUCUUGAAAAAAUAAGGCUUGACUGUUCUCGAUCUAAUUCUUUUUGUUUUAAGUUCUUAAUUAAGCUUUCUUGCUUGUUUUCAAGAGCCAGUUUUGUAAUGAUCGACAAACAUGAUUUGCAUAUAUUGCACUUGGCAUUUAUGUGUCACUUAUUAACUAGAUUUAAAUUUUAUAAAUUAAUUAAGCUGAUUAAUACUUUAUAUGUGCACUAAAUGAUAAAUACUACAUAAAUUGGGACACUAGUAACUACGUAUCCCAACUAUGUAAUAUUUGUUUGUCACAAAACCAAUCAUGGCCUGAUAUUCUAAAUAUUAUUUAGGAUACCAUUUCAAGUCCCAUGAGGGCUCUUUCCGUUAAAAAAAAAAAGUAUGAAAUAGAUGUAGAUUUUUCUUUAGAUAUUAUUACCUUUGGUGGCAAUGGUACGGGAUGAUUUGGGAUUUGACAAUUCCACUCUCAUCUUAAUUAUCAAAUGGAAUGUAAGUAUGGAUAAACUCGUCCUGUUUAUAUACUUGUGAUUAAAAUUAGGACCAAUCUCAAACCGCUCACAAUCAUGUCCCAUCCUAACUAUCCUGAAUGUCUCGAAUGCCUCCCUUUAUUAUCAUUUUAAUUCUCAUUAACAUAUUAGCAAAAUUUCCAUAUAUUAAAAAUAUUAGGGUCUGACUAUCUAUACUUUAAAAAUUACUAUGAACACUCAAUUAUUUUAUACACUCAUCUAAUAAAUUUAAAAAAUUAAGUUUCAUUUUGUACAUUUUUAAAAGUAACAAAAACAUUUUUACAUGAACCUAAUAAGUUUCUUUAAAAAAAAUUAAAUCAAUUAUUUUUAUUUAUUCAAAAUACUAAUAAAACUAUUCAGCAGACCGUGAAAGAAAAUUUUUAAGAAAUUUAGCACAUAAAACGUUGAAAGUUUCAACUAAAUUCUUUAACACAAUUUUAGAAAUUACUUAUUGUUUAUUAAAGAAUGUGUUCACUAAUGUUUUUAAUUUUGUGCAAUCAAAAAAGAAGAAGAAGAAGUUUGGGGUUAAAGAUACAUUUAAUUUUUAGUGUAAAAGUUGUAUCAAUCCUAUAAAAACUAAAAGAUCCAAAAGUUACAAGUUCCAACAUCACCCAAAUAUUACGAUUGUUUUUGGGAAGGUUAAAAGUGAUUUUAAAAAUUAAAAGCUUAUUUUAGUGUUUUAUAAAUUUUUUUUUAGUAAUUACUUUUGGCAAAAUCAUCUCAUCAUACAGUAGAUUUUGAAAAUUAAGAAAGGGAAUAGUUUUUCAAAAUCUAAUUUUGAGAAUCACUUUUAUACUUAAUCCAAUUCUCUCUCUCUCUCUCUCUCUCUCUCUAUAUAUAUAUAUAUAUAUAUAUAUAUAUAUCCUCAUUAUAUAAUAAAAAUCCAAAAUUACCUUUAUUAAUUAAGAAAUAAAAUCAUUAACUUUAAAGAAAUUAUUAUUACCACCAAUUAUAUUGAGAUAACAAAAUAAAUAAUACAAUUUAAUAAUAUACAAUAUUUAUUUUAGUUAUCAAUAAUUAUAUCUACAUAACAAAAAUAUUUUAUAUACAUGUUUGUAAAUGUGUAAAUAAAUUUUAUUUAGCUUUAUAUCCAAUUUAAUCAUUUACAUUCUUGCACCAGUUUAAUAAUAAGAUUUAUGAAACACAUAUGACUGCUUUUUAAACUAAAAGUACUUUUAAAAAUAAAUUUUACUAAAGGUUCACCUAAUUCUCUUCACGAUUGAUCAAUUUCUACAGCAUAGAUAACUGUAAUUAUUUUAAAAGCCAUAGAUUACCAAUAAAAAUGUCUAAAAGUAACAAUAAUAAACCAAAGUAAACGUACAAAAAUUCAUGCAUAAAUUGAUAAUCAACAAAAACAUCCAAAAGUUUUACUCUAAGUUUUCUAUUCAAUUGACAUAACCCUUAAAUUUCAAAAGGCAUAAUCAAUUUUGUGACUAAUCCUAUAAAAUUAGAAAAUUAAAGAAUAUUAUAUACUGAUAAUUAAAUAAUAUACAAUUAAUAAUGUAAAAAAAAAAUCAUGUUAAACAUAUUGUGAACUAAAAUAAUUGGGAGAAUUGGAGUUCCAAGAUAAAUUCCAAUCUAGUCCCAAAUCAACAAUUGGGAUUAAUUUCAAUCUUAAACUCCGAUUACUUUUAAAAUUGGUCCUAAUAAUAUGGACAAAUCCCAUUCUGAUCAGUAUGGAAUCUCAAUCCCAUAACUUUGGGUUUCGAUGGUGUUUAGUUGGAGGGAGGAGAGAGGAAGGAAAUGAAUUCAAAUUCCUUUCACUUUUCUGUUGUUUGGUUUUCACAAAUAUAUGGGAAUUCAAUUUCUAUUGAAAUUUAGUUUUCAUCAAAUUGUGCAUUUUGGAUUCCUCACCGAAGGCUGUAAAAUUCAAAUUCUCCUCCUAUUAGAAAUCAAAUCUUCCAAAAUUGUUCCUCUCAAAUAUUUAUCAAUUAUUUUUAUUCUUAUCAAACAAUUCUUAUUUAUGAUUUUAUUUUUUCAAUUUAAAUCGUCACUAAGGCGUCUAACUAAGGGCCAGUUUGGGAAUACUAUAACUUUUAAAAUAAUUAUUGUUAGUUGUGCUUUAGAAAUAAUCAGCUGUGAAGAAAAUUAAUUAAGUGUUUGGUAAAUUUUGUUUUAAAAAUACUGUGAGUUUUAAAAGCAGUUAUGGACAUUUAGUAAAUUUUACUAUUAAAUUGCUGAGAGAAAACAUAUGACUAAAAUGUAUAUAAUGUAGAUAAGAUUUACUUAUACAUAUAAAAACAUGUACAUAUAAUAUUUUUAAUUGUGUAUUAUAAUAAUUUUUAUUACAAAUAAAAUUUAUAAUAUAUUGAUUUUUUUAUUUUUUUAUCUUGAAACAAUUGAUAAUUAAAUUUGUAAUAUAGUGAAACAAAUUUAAUAAUAAUUCGACCAAUAAACUGAUAUUAAUAUAUUUAUAUAACCAAAUUAACGGGUGAAUUCUAUAAUCGAUUUCUUUUAUUAACAUCUCAUAACUAUGAGAAGUUUUAUAUUUUGAUAAAUGAUCAUACUCAAUUAUGUGCCUUAUUGGAUGAAAGACGGAGAAGGAAUGCCUUACCGGAUUCAAUUCAAUAUACACUUUUUGUUCCCAGGUCUAGCCUUUCGCGGGUACCUCAACAAAAAACUGAAGAGUAAUGGCAACAAGUGAUUGAGUUAAGUAGUUCCUCAUGUAAAAUUAUUGACUCUAGAGAUAUAGUAAUAUGGAGAAGACUAAACUAUUUCGUAUUGAUGAAUUAUAGUAACAAUUUAUUAAAAUAUUGAUUUUGAUUCUAAUUUUAAUAAGGAAGAACACCAAGAACGUUAUCCCUCUAAAUAUGUACUAUAUACAAAAAAUAAUUGUAAAAAAAGGGUAGAAAAAUAAAAGACAACUCAGAAAAUACUAUUUUUUUUAAUUAUAGAAUAUGACAUUGCAACCUAUAAUUACAUGUAAUUAUAUAAAGAUUAAAAAAUCAAUUAAGAAUUUCAAAUUAAAAUAGAUCAAUACAUGUAAUUACAAUCAAUUAAAAAUUGCAAGUAAAACUUUUGAAGUGGAAUACUAAAUUACCCGACUUAAUAAAUUAAACAAUUAAAAUUUAUUCAUCCUUUCAAAUUGUAAAAGUAUUAUUAGUCAAAAGUUUCAAUAAUAAACUAAACUCAAUUCAGCAAAAAGGUAUUUGAGUGCAAUUGUUUCUUUGUUAGGCGCUUUGCCUCUCUUUAAAGAACUAGAUGUUAAUUAUUCUUCUAUCAAAAAAUCCUUAAAAUAAUUAAAUUUUAUUUUCUAACUUGUUCUCUUAGUUUUUUUGAAACUAACAAAUAAAAUCUGAAAAUUCACAUAAAAAUUUUAUGAAAAUAUUGAUAAUUAUUACUAUAUGUUGUUCUGUAAGUACUUUUAAUACUAACAACGAUGUUAUAUUAUAUUGAUAGAUUUUUUUUUCAAUUAGAAGUUUUUAAAAUAAAUUAAAGCAAUAAUAAAAUUUUAGCUCCCUAAUUUUUCAAUCUAUUCAAUAAAUACGUAAUUUAAUCAUUUUAUAAAAUAAGUCACUAAUUGCAAUUGAAAAUAAUAUAAUUGAAUUAGGGACAUAUUUGUAAAUAAAAAAAACUAUUGUUAUAUAAAAUUGAUGAAAACAUAAGGAUAAUUGAGUUAAGGACAUAUUUGAAUAUAAAAUAUUGUUGUACUAAAUCGAUGAAAAUGUAAGGGUAAUUGAGUUAGGGACACAUUUAAAUAUAAAAUAAAAAAUCUAUUGUUAUACCAAAUUGAUAAAAACAUAAAAGUUAUUGAGUUAGGGACGUAUGUGAAAAUAAAAUAUAAACUCUAUUCUUUUACUAAAUUAAUGAAAAUGAAAAAAAGAGGUAUAAACGAUUUUUUCCCACAUGUAGGUCCGCCACUCGUGUUGUAUGAGAAUUGUAAUCCAAAAAUUUUCCCUACAAAACGAUUUUUAAUCGACAGCAAAUUUUCACUACAAAACGAUUUUAAACGAUUUUUGUUUUUUUUCGAUUAAUUUUGAAAUGUUGCAUACAUAACGAGCUGCCAUUGAAAUUAAUGUUAACAACCAAAGUAGAUGCAAAAGGAGAAACAAGCAUCAUGUGCAGUACCCACUGUGAACUACUCACAUUGGAAUAAGUUGUCGGCAGCUGGUCUGUUUGGCCAUUGAUAUUUUGACUAUUCAAUGUUGAUUUUGACCCCACUAAAUUAAGCCAUCAAAAAUUGCUGGGAAGGGAGUAAUAUCUAUUCAUAACUGGAAAUUACUCGCCGUACAAUGAUGAUUGGAGCUGCAUGUAUCAUUUAUUAUUAACAACUAACUUAUGAAAUGCUUUGAAUGUACCUCCUAGGUCGUAUUUACUAUACUGGUUAGGAGAAACUACAAUAUUAAAUUAUUUGAUAAAUACUUAUUAUAAUUUAAAAAAUAUAUUAAUUUUGUCCUCCACUUUAUGAUAAAAAAAUUAUAAUAUAUAUAAAUCAUUCAUUCUAUAAUCUUGAACUUUAUUAAAGUUCCAAAAACUAUUACUCUAUAUGAUAUACUCGGGUGAUGUUAUUACACUAUUAUACAGUACAAAAUAUAUUUGUUUUCUUAAAUUUUAAUAAAGUCUAGGUCUUGGAGAGAAGCGCUUUAUAUAUAUGUAUAUAUAAUGAUUCUCUAGUGACGACAUCCUCAUUUUAACAAAGUGAUGAUAUCACUAACAAACUAAAUAACACACAUUUCAAUACACCAAUUGAUAAAAAAAUCCAGUUUUUAAUGUGUUAAAAUAUAUGUCUUUUGUAUAUUAUUGAUAUUUUCAUUUUAACAAAGUGAAGGUCUCCUCACUAUAGAAGUGCUUUAUAAAUAUUUUCUGUAUUUUUGUAAAAAUUAUUAUUUAAAAGUCAUAUCUUACCAAAGACUAAUAGUUUUUAUUUUAUCACUAUACUGUACUUUUCAAGAUAGAACACCUCAAUACCAUGACCUUAAUUUUGAACUCUCUUGUACAAAGUUGUUGGCGGGUCUAUUUAGUUUAGUCUUUCAACUAUUUGUCGUUUGAACUAAGAUGAUCCGAAUAAAGAUAUAUAUCAAUAAUUUCCUAGUGAAACUUCGGAAAAAUAUAAAAAUCCUCUCAUAUAGUAGCAUUAUUUUAAUUCUCAGCUUGAUUAUGUUUUGAGUUAACUUAUAAAUUAUUUGAAAUAAAAAGAAUAUAAUUUAUUUUUUCCAACGGAAUUUUUUAAAUAAUUUUAUUAGUUUAAUGAGUAAUUAUACACUUACAAAGUUAUGAUAUAAAAUUAUAUCCCUAAAUCCCAAUAAUAUGACACCAAUGAACUACUGCUAUGUGUUUCUUAGUAAUUAACUUUUUAUACUAUUAUUAAUGAGAUAAUUAACUUCAACACCAAUAUAAAAAUUUUAUAUUAAUACAUCCUCUAGCUUUAGACGUUACAGACUCUGUAUGUAACGCAGCAAAUGAGGAGCAUCCACGCGUUGCAGGAGAGAGGAAAAGUUGUUGGAAUUUAGCUGAUACAAGACUAAUUUCCAUUGAGCUGUUACAUACAGAGUCUGUAAGGUAGUUUUAUUAUCAAAUAAUCAUAUGUCAUAAUCGAACCAAGCUACCAGAGCCUACCACUAAAAGAGUGAUUGAAGGGUUUUCCAAGUUUGAAAAUGUUAGUAGCAUUGGCAAAUGGCAACUUCCAGGAAUCUUCCUGCUACAAUCAAGUUGAAUCAACUAUUCAGUGAAAUACGCAAACGGCACAUAGGACCCCGCCACCCGUAAAGUCACAAUCAUUUGUUUAUUUGUCAAUCAAGUUGAAUCAACUUGAAUAAAGCCUAAAAUCUAAUUUUUUAUUUCGUUCACUUCAAAUAGACCCCCCCCCCCCAAAAAAAGAGAUGUUGAAUAAAGCAUAAAAUCUAAUUUGAUUUUUAAUCUGAUUUAGCUAAGAUGUCGAAUUUAAGACUAAGAGCAAUGUUAAGGAUCCCAAUAAUUGAGUCCCAAGUGAUAUGGUAGUCAUUUAUUCUAUGAUCGAAAUAUUAAUUUUACUAAUUAUGAAAUUUAUUAUCUAAUGAAAAAAUCACACAUAUCAAUUGGGUCUCAAGUUAGAUUUCUACUAUUGAAAUUCCUAACAUUUUUCCAAUAUUUAAAAAUUCAUCAAAAUAAUAUCUAUUAUCUAAAAAAAUAAAAUAAAAAUCUAAAACCAUAUAUUUACUUUUCAAUCUUUGGCUGAUUUUUUUUUAAAGUUUUGGUUUCUUUAGAAGUGCAAAGAGAAAUAGUAAUAAGAUUAAAAAAGCAAUGAAGUAAAACUUUAAAAUUUUUAUUUCUUUAUAUUUUCAUCGGUCAUUUUACCGGUACUGGUUUGAUUUUCUGACUAAGCUACUGUUUAGUUCUAAGUCUUGGCAAUUACCCGGACUGCUCUGUUUUGUGUAUCUUCGACACAAUAAGGCUUAGCAUUUAAAAGUCGGCAGCCACGCAACUUCUUGGAAUCUUCGCGCAAGUGUUGGAUAUCGACUGUUCGAUAAUGAUGGCAGCAUUGGACUGGAGUGUAAUUGACGCAGUGGAAUAAGGAUCACAUGUCUCAAACUUCUGGCGAAGAUACUGUCAGAUAUUUUAUUGAUCAAGUAAGGAUCACAAAUAAUUGACGCAGUGUAAUUUGCUUUUUUUGCUACUGAUGUAAGUCUUGCAAUUAUUUUUAAAUAAUGAUAUUAUAAUUAAAAAUCAAGAAAUAUUUAUAAUACUUAAAGACUGAUUCAGAUUAUUAAUUCUUUUAUAUGACUUAAUUAUUAGCUGACAAAUAAUUAAAAAGUCAUGGAACAAUACUUUUAUUCUAAUAUGACACAACUUGUACUUUCAUUCCUAUGCUAAAAUAUAUCUAACUUAUUAAUAGUCAAGAAAUAUAUCUAUUCAACAUAUAUUUGUUAGAAAGAUUAUCUACUAAUUAAUCAUUCAGACAAGAUUACGAGUCUCAACAUAAAGAGUAAUGAUAUAAUCAUAAAUUUUUGUAUAAAUUUAUUUUGUAUAAAUUAAUAUGUCAUAAUAAGAUUGGUUAAAUUAAAUAUCACUUGACUCAUAUAAUUUAUUUUUAUUAUUUUAUAUUUUCAUUCAACUAAUGAAUUAAUGUCAUGUUAAUUUAUACAAAAAUAUUUAUACAAAAAUUUAUAGUUAAUUUAUACUCCAAAUUAAGAUAAAAAUUAAUACAUUGAAAUUCAGAACCCUUUUUUAUUUUUUUUUUCCUUCUGCAGUUUAAAAAGGAGUCGCCCACGAUUAUUGAAAUAAUUUUAUCAGAUUCGCUUGAAAGUAGUUUUACGAGCAAGCGGUUUUUCCCUCUUGAUCCCCGUAUUCGUCAGCUCCUACUCUUUGCCUUCAAUUCUCAGUCAAGAAAACCUCUCCUGAUUUUCGUCUUUUGAUCUCAUACACACUUUGCUUCUGUUCAUCGUGGUCGCUGCUCGUGCUAGCCGUUUUCUUAUUUAGCUUUGUUCCCUUUUGCCAUCAGCUCUUUGCUUUUUCAUUGGAUCAAGCAACCCUUUUCUUGAUUCAAUUUUCUGAUCUCAAAAACACUUUGAUUCUCUUCUGUUACACUGAUUUCCCCCUUGUUUUGUACAAAUAUAAUUUCUUUUUCCAAUUUUGCCUUGUUUUGCUUCUACUUGAUUAUCAAUUGCGCGGUCGUUGACCCUGUUCUAUUUCUAGUUCGUUCCCUUCCCCCCCCCCCCAACCCAAAAAAAAUGGACAUUUUGAAAAGCAUUGUAAACUGCUUGUCUCCUCACGCACAACGCGAAUUUAGUUAUUGGCAUAACUCCGCUGCCAACUUUGAGAAUCUCAAGGCAGAACUCGAUGGGCUCAAGGAUGAAAGAGAAAGCAUUCAGCGCAGAGUUUCUGAGGCUGAAAGAAAAAGUGAAAAGAUUGAAGAGAAGGUUGAGAAAUGGCUGGUUAAUGCGAACAAGAGCAUUGAGCAGGCAGCCAAAUUCAUUCAAGACGAAGAGAAAGCAAAUGAACGAUGUCUCAUGGGGCUGUUUCCUAAUUGGAUUACUCGCUAUCAGCAUGGAAAGAAAGCAGAAACAGAGAAGGAGGCCCUUUUUAAACUCCGAGAAGAAGCUGGGAGAUUUGAUAGAAUUUCCUACCCUACCAUUCCGGAGGAGAUUUGGCUCAAGUCUCACAAAGGCUACGAGGCCUUCGAAUCAAGACUUCCUACUUUGGAGGAUAUAAAAAACGCAUUAAUCAAUGUUAAUGUCAGCAUCAUUGGGGUGUACGGCAUGGGCGGCAUUGGAAAGACGACACUGGUGAAGGAGUUUGCAAGGCGAGCCAUUGAAGACAAGCUUUACGAUAUGGUGGCUUUUUCGGAGGUUACCCAAAGUCCAGACAUAAAAAAGAUCCAAGAGGAAAUUGCGGAAACGUUAGGCCUACAGUUGUCCGAGGAAGCUGAGUCUAGAAGAGCUGGUAGACUAUAUGAAAGAUUGAAGAAUGAGAAGAAGAUCCUUGUGAUUCUGGAUAACAUCUGGAAACCUCUUGAUUUGGGGACUAUUGGAAUUCCUUUUGGAGUUGAGCACAGAGGAUGCAAAUUAUUAUUCACAACAAGAGAUCUUGAUGUGCUGUUAAGGAUGGGAUCUGAAAAAAACUUGUCGAUUGGCAUUUUAAAUGAACAAGAAGCCUGGAGAUUGUUCAAGAUAAUGGCUGGUGAUUAUGUUGAAAAUCGUGAGUUAAAAUCUGCAGCAACAAGUGUAGCCAAGGCAUGCGGAGGUUUGCCUAUUGCCCUAACCACAGUAGCAAAGGCACUGAGAAAAAAAGAGCUGCCUGUGUGGAAGAAUGCCUUGCAAGAGCUCCAAACGCCUUCAGAGGCGAGCGUCGACGAAGGAGUACCAGCAGAGGCAUACUCAACAAUUGAGCUGAGUUACAAGUACUUAAGAGGUGAGCAACUCAAGAAAACUUUUUUACUGUGUAGUCUUAUUACGCCAGCACCAAUUAUGGACUUGUUCAAAUAUAGCAUGGGCUGGGGUGUAUUUAAAAGUGUCCACAAGCUAGAAGAUGCACAUAACAAAUUAGAUGCAUGGGUCCAUCAACUAAGAGACUCUUGUUUGCUGCUUGAGGAUGGUGGCAGUAAAUACUUUUCUAUGCACGACGUUGUUCGCGAUGUUGCCAUUUCAAUUGCAUGUCGUGACAAAAUUGGAUUUGUGGUGAGAAAUGGCCAAAUGCAGAUGAAUUAAAAAAAUAUCUUGCAAUUUCUUUAAAAGAUAGUAUUAUUAAUGACAUUCCUGAAGGGUCCGAAUCUCUACAACUUGAACUUCUACUCAUGUCUCCCAAGAACUCUUUUGCUGUGCCUAAUAUUCCUGAGAACUUCUUCAAAAGGACGAAAAAGCUUCGGGUUUUGGAUUUGACUAGAAUGCGGUUAUUGUCAUUGCCAUCUUCAAUUGGUCUUCUAGUAAAUCUUCAGACACUUUGUCUUAAUCAAACCAUUUUGGGAGGCAUAGACAUAGCCAUUAUUGGAAAGUUGGAAAAUCUAGAAAUCCUCAGCUUCGUGCGGUCUGAUAUGGUGCAAUUGCCCAAAGCACUUGGUCAACUGACUAAGCUAAGGCAGUUAGAUUUAACUGACUGUUUCCGUCUAAAAGUUAUUGCUCCAAAUGUCAUAUCAAGCUUAAUCCGAUUAGAAGAAUUGUAUAUGGGUAAUUGCUCCAUUGAAUGGGAGGUUGAAAGAGCGAACAGCAAAAGAAGUAAUGCUAGCCUUGAUGAAUUGAUGCAUUUACCUCGGCUAACCACUCUAGAAAUUGAUGUUAAAAAUGAGAGUAUGUUACCAGAAGGCUUUUUGGCCAGAAAGCUCGAAAGGUUCAAAAUACAUAUUGGAAAUGGGUUAUUCACACAUCCCAUGCUUUUUAGACAACAGUGGUUUAAAAGUCGGCAGCACUUUUGGAUCAACAGUAAACGCAAGAGUUUAAGAGCAUUGAAGCUCAAGCUUGAUUUUAUGGACAUUUGCUCCAUGAAAUUGCAGGGCAUCAAUAACGUUGAAUACUUAUGGUUGGACAAGCUGCAAGGCAUCGAGAAUGUUCUUUUCAAUUUGGACACGGAGGGCUUUUCACAAUUGAAGCUUCUCUGGGUUCAAAAUAAUCCUGACUUCUUUUGUAUCGUCGAUUCAAGGGAGAUGGUCGCUUGUGAUGCCUUUCCUCUUUUGGAGUCACUUAUCCUUCACAACUUGAUCAACAUGGAGAGGAUAUGUAUUGAUCGGCUCAAAGUAGAGUCUUUCAACGAACUCAAAAACAUAGAAGCAUAUAAUUGUGAUAAAUUGAGUAAUAUCUUUUGGCUCUCUACUACAAAAUGCCUUCCAAGACUUGAGAGAAUUGCAGUUAUUAAUUGCAGCAAGAUGAAAGAGAUUUUUGCAAUUGGGGAAGAAGUUGAUAAUGCAAUUGAGAAGAUAGAGUUUGCUCAAUUAAGAUCUUUGAGUCUGGGGAAUCUUCCAGAGGUUACAAGUUUUUGCCGCGAGGUGGAGACUCCUUCAGCAUCACCAAACAGACAAGUGUCGCAAGAGGAAUCGACGACUAUGUAUAGCUCCAGCGAAAUCACUUUGGAUAUUUCAACUCUGCUUUUCAACGAGAAGGUGCGUAGGCUAACAGAUUUUAUUCUAUCAUGCGUUCUGUUUUGAUGUCAUACGUGGAAAAUAAUUAAAUCAUUUAAAGAAUUGAAAGAAAAUGGAAAAAAGGAUAAAAAGAAUCUCACGCGCUCACUAAUUGAGCUCUUAACAAGUAGUAUGAAUUAGAAUGCAUACUCAGCUGUCAGUUGGAAAUUGAUUCUGACUUGCAUUAAUUUGUAAUCAAAGAAGAAAAUUUCAACAAGUGCUUCCCAUAUGGAUAUUGGAUCUAACGAGAAAUUCUUAUUUUUUUAGGUAGUGUUGCCUAACUUGGAGGCUUUGGAGAUAUCUACAAUUAAUGUCGACAAGAUUUGGCACUACAAUCAUCUUCCGGUCAUGUUUCCUCGCUUUCAAAAUUUAACACGAUUGAUUGUAUACUGCUGUAUCAAAUUAAAAUACAUAUUUUCAGCGUCUAUGAUCGGAAGCCUGAAGCAGCUCCAACACCUAGAAGUAUGCUUAUGUGAGGAUUUACAGGAGAUCAUUUCUGAAAACAGAGCAGAUCAAGUGAUCCCUUAUUUUGUCUUUCCACAGCUCACCACUCUGAGACUCCAAGAUCUACCAAAACUUAGAUGUUUGUACCCUGGAAUGAAUACUUUGGAAUGGCCCGUGCUAGAAAUUCUUUUUGUGUAUGGUUGUGACAAAUUAAAGAUAUUCGCUGCAGAUUUAUCGCAGAAUAAUGAGAAUGAUCAACUUGGUAUUCCUGCACAACAGCCCCUAUUGCCGUUGGAAAAGGUAUGAAGUCAUUUUCUAGAUUUUUUAUCAAUAGCUUAUUUUUAACUUUGAAAAAUAUGACAAAGUAUCGAUAAAUUAAUACUCAAUAAAUUAAAAACUUUUAUUAUACAAUAAUCUUUGCUAGUCUAGACUAAGGGAUCAAUGUCGUAGAUUAAUAAUUAUAUGAACUGUUUUAGGUAUAGCAUUUAUAAAAGAAUCCUUAGUCUUUCCAUAUAGAAGAACUUACAAAAUAAAUUAGUAAUUUAUUAUUGUGCAAUAAAAUAAUUUCGAGCCAGUAUAAAUCAACCUUUUUUCCCUAAUUUCUUUUUUACCUCUAAAAUUAACAUAUAAAAUAAAUUUUAUCAAUAAUUCAAUUUUUUUUAAAAAUAUAAUAUAAAACAAAUACUAUAAAGUCACUGCAUGUGACCGUAGAUCAUCAAUUGACCUCAUUAGUUAUUAUGAUUGAUGAUGAUCAGAUCGUACCCAACUUGAAGAAACUAUCACUAAGUGGAAAAGAUGUGAAGAUGAUUUUGCAGGCCGAUUUUCCACAACACCUUUUUGGCAGUCUUAAACAACUAGAGAUUGUUGGAGAUGACUCAGCUUGUUUUCCAAUCUGGAACGUACUGGAGAGAUUUCACAAUCUUGAAAUGCUCAUACUGCGUUAUUUUUCAUUCAACGAAGAGGAAUUUUCGAAGGAAGGAUGCUUAGAGAAACAUGUGGGGAAGUUGGCAAUGAUAAAAGAAUUACAGCUGCACGGGCACGAUCAUCUUGAGCAGCUGUGCAAACAAGACUCCAAACUUGGCCCCAUUUUUCAGUAUCUUGAAAUUCUAGGAGUAUAUUAUUGUCAAAGUGUGUUAAUUCUAUUGCCAUCAUCAUCGGUAUCUUUUCGGAACCUAACAGAACUUGUAGCUUUCGGUUGCAAGGAAUUGAUACACUUGGUAACAUCCUCCACAGCAAAAACUCUAGUGCAACUCGUCACAGUGAGUAUACAUGGAUGCAGAGCAAUGACAGAGGUGGUAAUAAAUGACAAAGAUGGAGUUGAAAAAGAAGAGAUUGUUUGCUGCAAAUUGAAGAUGUUGGGACUGUUUGAUUUAGAUAGCCUCACAAGUUUCUGCUCUGCCAAUUACACCUUCAAAUUCCCAUCUUUACAAGAUUUGAAUGUGAUUGGUUGUCCCAAGAUGAAGAUUUUCACUACAGGAGAAUCAAUCACGCCUCCAAGAGUAAAUGUCUGGUAUGGAGAGACAGGGGAUCGAUUGCUUUGGACCAAUAAUGAUCUCAACACAACCAUACAACAAUUACAUGCUGAAAAGGUACGGAUAUACAUAGUACUCUCUAUCUCCCAUGGAAACAUUUUACAAAAUUUUUAUUUUAAUAAAAUAUAGAUAAGAUAUUUGUUAUAAAGUAAAAGUUUAAAUUGAUGAAUAAGAAUUUUAUUUUCAGCUGUUGGCGGUGCAGUCGGCGAUCUCUACCCAUUACUAAUUUCAUAGGCUUCUUAUGACUUGGGAGUUGUGAAUUUUUAGAAGAAAGCCUCAGCUGGUAAUUAAUUUUUAUUUCAUUUAUUUGAUCUCAUGGCUUGUUUCGCAAUUUCAUCUGAAUUAUUUAGAAUGGGUCAAUCGGCUUACUGUUAAAUUUGGAAUGCAAUUUUAAUGAUUCGUUCAGACUUUUGUGGACAGAUUUUGCAUCAUUGAAUGUCUUCUAGUCUAGUUUAAUUUGAGUAUUUUUUUCUUUUUUUCUAAAAUUUUAUAAUUCCUUGCAUACUUUGUAUGAUAAAAUUUCAUAAAAAGCCUUCAUAUUUUAUAAUUCCUUGAAAACAUCAUUGUUGUUCUGUUAUUUUAGUUUGUUCAUUUGGUUUGGUUUGCUUCACCCCUAUCUUUCUUUGGAAACUUUUUGUUUUUUUUUUUAUGAUCUUUCCAAAUGCUCUUUCCUAUGAACACAUAAUUAAGAACAGCUGAAAAUCAUUCAUCGGAUAAAAAAUUAAAAAUAAACAAAAUCUAAUCAGAGCAUUAUGCCUAGAACAAAUCCUUAGACCAUCAAAGCCAAACUCUUCGCUAUGAAAAACUAUAUUGUGGAAAUAUUGUUUGAAAACGUUGGACACCAAGAAAGGGACUAAUUUGGUCUAGUUUUAUGAGAAGUAUAGAAGAACGUUGUUUUCUCUGUUUUUCCUGUUAGAACUCUUUACUCUAUGAUUGUAGAAUGUCUGGAUACUGAUGAAGAUUCAGGUAACUCUUCUCCUGUGCAUCAUUUGAAAUAAGUUUUUUUUUUUUUUUUUGGUAAUAUCUCCUACUGGGUUAUAGUUCAUACAAAGAGAAAUUCUUAAAUCAAGCCGGAUACUGGUAGAAACAAGUGGGGAAGUAGGCACUGAUAAAAUGGUUAAUCCUGUCCAGACUUAAUCAUUGAAGCAACUCCAAAUUGGACUCCAUUUUAAAUAUUUUGACAUUCUAAGACUAUUUUACAAGCAUUUAAUGAAUGAAAGUCUAGUGCAGCUCGUAACAAUGAAGGUAGCUGGAUGCAGGGCAAUGACAGAGGUGGUAAUAGGUGACGGAGAAGAAGAUGGAGCACCAAAUUUACUUUAAAUUAAUGAAUGAAAGAAUUUAUUUUCUGCUGUUGGAGGAGUCGUCAUCUCUCUCGACAUAGUAUACGAUAUGUUUUGAUCCCAUAGGCUUUUUAAUAUAUUACCUUGUGUUGUUUGAUCUCUAGGUUUAUUUUAUCGUUUCAUCUUAUUAUUUGCAAUGCGUCAGUUGGUUUAUUUGUUAAUUUUGGAAUGAAGUUGAGCGGGUAUCUAUUCGGCAAGAAAUUCUGUUUAUUUCCUAGUUAUUUUACAAAGUUUAAGAGAUUUUCUUAUUUUUCUUAUUAUUUUCAAUAUUUUUAUAUUUUUUCUCUAAAUAUAAGAUUUUAAGUAUGAUUUAUUUUAUUUUUCUUAUUUCAGUUAGGAGAACGUUAUUAUGUAAUAAUAUUUUAAGUUUGCCUAUUUUGAUAAAUACAUAAUACUUAGAAUUUGUGUAAAAAGGGUCCAAUACCCUAAUUUUGUUAUUCAAACUUCUAUUAAUAAAAUUUCAGACUUUUUAAAAAAAAUUCUCUAUAUUUUCAAUCUCAACAUCUAUGUUUCCCUUUCAUCAUAAGUUUUAAUGUCUGGUUCUGAGCUAGCUUUAUGUGCAUAUUAAACAUCAUUGAAGGUCUUUUGAUCUAAGUUGUGAUCAAAAAAUUAUGCUCGCUUCUGUCUGGUCGUAUGAAAAUUGUGCAAAAUAAUAUUCUUAUAUAAUUUUUAUCCUCCAUUGUUACAAAAUCCCAAGCUUCGAAUUUGUAAACUUUGAAAGCAUGGCAGAAAACUUAGUACUUAAUAAGGCUCUGGAAUAAGACUCUUUAUGGCUUCAAUAUUUUAUUUAACAUGAAAAUUUCUUUCUAACUAGCAUCAUUGCGAAGAUAAAUUGUGGUAGUUCUGACAAGUACUGCACAAUUAAUGUUACCAGCAAUCAAUUGUUGUGAGCACCGACAACCAUUUUCAUAUUUAAGCCUUAAGAACAGUAACUCAAAAUAUGGCAAGUGGCAACCACAUCAAAUAAUCAAAUUGUUGAUAGAUUUAGAGAGCUUUAAUUUGCUUGAUAUAUAUUUGAAUAUUUCAACAGAUGCAUCUUUUCUCUACUCACGGGGCACGUUGAGUUAGAAACGGUUUGAAUGUCAAUAUUACUCCAAGUGCCUCAACCAAAUUCAGAAUGAAAAAAACCAUCUGGUUACCUGCACUUUAGUUUAAGCAGCUGAUUAAGUUAGUUAGCACCAAGUAAUUCACAUACUGGUGAGAAAUUUCAUUAGUAAAUCAUCAUACCGGGGAGGAAACCAGCAUCUUGACGCUUUUGUGACCAAGAAAAUCUGCACAACCCGAUUAAUCAAGUUGUUACCAAACAAAUGAUCAAUUUAAUCAUGCCUUAAUUUUUUCUUUUUUUUUUUUUGUGCCGGGGGGGGGGGGGGGGGGGGGGGGGGGAAUAAAAAUCGUAACUUCAUUUACAUAUAAUUUUACAAAAUCAAUAGGACACUUACGGAGCACCUCCUACAGUCAUAGCAAGUCCAUUGGCAGCUCCUCUUUGAUGCUGUUCCCGUUAUUGUGGCAUAAACCAACAAAUUAAAUUUAAACUUUGACACAUACAAAAUUUGAUAAGGCUGAAAUCAUGGAAAUGUACUAAACAAAUAAAAGAAAAAAAUAUUUACCACUGCUCUGUUUUGAAGAAGGAAUAAUCCAGUUAUUAUAGCCACCUGAUGUUACAAUUCAGGAAAAGUAAAAAAGAAUUACAAGAAUUCUAAUAAAAAAGACAUAAAAUAAUUUUAUACAUACUUGCUGAUGGAUAAUAUAACCUACGUAUAUGGAUCAAUGAUUAGGAUAUCCACUUACAGAUAAAACAUUCUUCAUCACAGAAGCACAGUUUAUCAAUAAGGCAAGGCUGAACCCAGAUAACAUUGCUAUAAAAGUGUAACUUGUCAAAAGCGCCAUCGAUAAAACCUGUACACACAUAGAAAAUUAUGGGACCAAAACCAUGAAGAAAAGUGUUUUAUAAACAAAUAUGUUUGAAACAAACUAUCAAAUGGUCUAAAUGCCACAUGGUGUGUUCAAAAUUUUACCCCUGCAAUGCGUGUUAUGAUUAUUGGCCCAAUGAUCCUCUCGACGUAAGGGUAUAGAGUGAGUUGAAAAAUAAGGAGGCUGAAUCUUGUAGUAAGUUCAAAAUGAGGACAAUCAUCAAGCAUGUGAUGGUGUCAAUGUAGUCAUUAUAAGAGAAGCGAAAGUUAUAUUUUAUAGUCUCACCAAUAAGAAAAUUUGAAGUUAUGGGAGAGUUGCUAUUACAUGUACAAUUCAGCCUGAAAAGAGAGCUAAAGGCUACGUACCGGAAUCCAGCAAGAAGCAAUAGUUACCGCAAAAGCAAAGAGUGACAUACAGAGACAGGGCAGAGAUGAAUUCAGUCAGCUGAAUCAAUUGAAGAGUGAAGUGCCAGCUCAGCUGAAGUUAGUUAGACACGUUUAGAUCAUAUUCAGUUAGUUUCUUCAUUUUCUGUUAAGCUGUAAACAGCUGAGUAUAAAUACAAGCAUCUUGUAAUCAUUGAAGUUUUAAGCAAAAUAAAAUAAAGCAUUUGAUUUCAUAAGUCUUUUACAAUUUUCUCAGCACUUGAAAAUACAUUUUCUCAGUAACCAAACAGUCUAUUCAUUCAAGCUUUUAAGCUUUCAAACAUGGUAUCAGAGCCAUACAGAGCUAGUUCCAGUAAUCAACAGUCAAGCUUUCGUAAUCAAACAACAAACAACACAAAUCAACCUACUCAAAUCAACUUCUCUUUUACUAAUCCUAUCAAGCUAGAUCGAUCAAAUUACUUACUCUGGCGUUCUCAAGUUCUAGCUUCAAUAAGAGGCAAUCGUUUGGAAGAUUUCGUCAUAGGAGACAGAUCAGUACCUGAUAAGUGUCUUCUGUUAACUGAAGCAGAUGGAUCUAUACAACAAAUUGAAAAUCUAGAAUAUCAGAUCUGGAGAUCACAGGAUUAGACACUUCUUGAUUGGCUACUGUCGUCAUUAAGUGAAGGUAUCUUAAGUCUUGUUAUCAAUUCUGAGAGUUCUUUUGAUAUAUGGAAAACUUUGGAAAAGAAAUUUGGAGUUCAAUCUAAAGCUCGACUGCUUCAGCUCAUAUAUGAACUAAACACUAUUAAAAAGGAAGCUCUUAGUGUUGAAGAUUAUUGUAUUAAAAUGAAAGCAAUAGCUGAUAAGCUGGCCAGUGCUGGUAGUUCCAUUACAGAGAAGGAUCUUAUGUUAACUAUUCUUAAUGGAUUAGGACCAGGAUAUCGUGAUAUUGCUACAUUUAUAACUGGUUCACAAAUGGAAUUUGAUGAUGUUUAUGCACUGUUACUCACUCAUGAGACUAGAUUAGAGCAGGAGCAAGGUGACAAAAGUAUGUUUAAUGCAAACUAUGCAUAUACGAAUGCAUAUUAUCCUAGAGCUUAUUUUGCACAGCCUAGAGGAAGUUUUAAACGAGGAGGUUAUUCUGGUGGUAGAACUCCUUUCUUUGGCAGAGGAAAUAUGAAUUACUCUCCAAGAAUGUUUAAUGGAGGUUUUAAAAAUGGAUAUGGCAGAGGAUUUUUUUCCUGGAAACAACUGAUUUCAAUCAUUUUCCAGCUCCUAGGAAUCCAGUACCUAGGAACUCAUCUUUUCUAACUAGAAAUGGAUCUGCUAACAUGAGUGGAUCACAAGGAAGUUUUAAUAAUGCUGGGGAGCUGGUAUGUCAGAUUUGCUUUAAGAGUGGUCAUACUGCUGAUGUCUGUUGGCAUAGAUUUGUUGAAGACUUUGUACCUGUUCCAAGAGGUUUUGGCAGGGGAAAAACACCAAGAGCAGCAUAUUUCUCAAACUUUGAUGGCUCUACUUCUAAUCCAGAUUUUGGCUAUGAAAAUCUUAAUAAUAUGUUUCCAGGUUAUGAUUCUAUGUCUGGCAAUAGUUAUUAUUAUGGAAUGGAUAGAUACACUUCUGGAGCAGCUGGAACAGCCUUUAUGGCUAAUUUUGAAGGAACUGCUGAUGAUGGAUGGUAUCUGGAUAGUGGGGCAACUCACCAUUUAACCAACAACAUGGAGAAUUUGCAGAUCAAUGAAGAGUUUAAAGGUACUGAUCAGCUUAUCAUUGGAAAUGAUCAAGGUUUGUCUAUUACUCAUGUUGGACAUGCAUUUCUGGUGUUAAGAGCUUCUAAAUCCUUAUCUACACAUGCUAGAAUAACACUUAAAGAUAUGUUACUUGUUCCUUCAAUUACCAAAAAUCUAUUAAGUAUUUCCAAACUCACAUCUGAUAAUCCUGUAUAUGUUGAAUUCUGUGGAAAUGUUUGUUUUGUGAAGGACAUGAAAGGUCAAGUUCUUCUGCAGGGUAUUGCUGAAAAAGGCCUUUACAAGCUGCUGCUGAACUCCAAUUCUCUUUCUUCAUCACCUACAUCCUAUCUUUGUAAAUCCCAGCCAAAUAAACCAGUUUCUAUGUUAUCUGCUUUCAAACACUGUGAUAAUGGUACUCGAGCUUGCUAUCAGUCUGUUUUAAAUAAGUGUAAUGCCAAACCUGAUAUAAUAACUUUGUUACAUAGAAAGUUUGGUCAUCCAAGCUCAAUGACAUUGGUGCAUUUGCUUAAAUCAUGUAAACAAUUUAAAGUCUCUUCAAAAGACAUGUUAUCUUCUGCAAAUACUUUAUGUGAAGCAUGUCAGCUAGGCAAAGUCCAUAAGCAACAUUUCUCAAUAACCGAAACAAAAACAAAAGGGGUAUUAGAAUUGAUCCAUACUGAUCUUUGGGGGCCUUCACCCACUAUGUCUAGAGAUGGAUACCAAUACUACAUUAGUUUUGUGGAUGAUUAUACUAGGUACUCUUGGAUCUAUCCUCUUAAGCUCAAAUCACAAGCAUUUGAAGUUUUUAAAUUGUUCAAAACUCAAGUUGAGAAUCAAUUUGAUACCAAAAUUAAGAUGCUACAAUCUGAUCUUGGGGGAGAGUUUAGAGUGUUUACUGAUUUUCUUAAUCAAAAUCGAAUAAUUUUUAGACACUCAUGUCCUUACACCCAUCACCAGAAUGGUCUUGUUGAGAGGAAACACAGGCAUAUAGUUGAGCUAGGCUUAACUCUCAUGGCUCAAGCAAACCUUCCUCUUCAAUUCUGGUGGGAAGCUGUUCAUACAGCAGUGUAUCAUAUUAACAGAUUGCCUACCCCUGUUAUGAAAUUCUUAUCUCCUUAUGAGAAACUUUUCAAACACAAACCAGAUUACACAUUCCUGAAGUGUUUUGGUUGUCUUUGCUAUCCAUACUUGGGAGAUUUUAACAAACAUAAGUUUGAUUUUCACACUUCUAAAUGCAUCUUUAUUGGAUACAAUCCCUCUUACAAAGGAUACAAGUGCUUAGCAAGUUCUGGUAAAGUCUAUGUUCUUAGACAUGUUAUUUUUUAUGAAAACACAUUCCCUUAUCCAAUAAACACUACAUCUCACUCAUCAGAAAACCCCAUAUCUUCUUAAACCUCAGUGUCUAAUUUCUCUCAACAACAUAUCUAUCAUCUUUCUACAAUGGCCUUACCCAACAGCAGCUUUGAAGGUCUUCAGUCAGCAGGCUCAGCAAGAAAUGAACAAAUUCCCUUUGUUCCCACACAUACAAAUAUUCUGAAUCAACAAGAACAUCCAUCACACACAUCUUUAGAGUUAUCAUCCUCAACCUCACCAUCACCAAACACAUUACCACUACAAUCAUCCAUUCUACAACCAGAGGAAAUUUCUAUUCCACAGAACACAGACCAAAUUCAAACCAGAAGUCAUUCUCAACCAUCUUCUCAUCCAAUGAUUACAAGAUCAAAAUCUGGAAUCUUCAAACCAAAGGUUUAUACAGUCACCUUAGCCAACAAAGAACUAAUACAGUUCAAGAAGCUCUUAGCAGUCAGAAUUGGCAUCAGGCCAUGGUAGAUGAGUAUGAAGCUUUGAUAAAGAAUGAGACUUGGUCACUAGUACCAUUUUCAAAUGCAUACAAAGUAGUUGACAACAAAUGGGUGUUUAGACUCAAGCAAAAUACUGAUGGAAGCAUAGCCAAACACAAGGCCAGGUUGGUUGCCAAAGGUUUUCAGCAAAUUGAAGGUGUAGAUUACUUUGAGACUUUUAGCCCAGUUGUAAAAGCUUCAACAGUAAGGAUUGUUUUGAGUUUAGCUGUGAUGCAUAAAUGGAAAAUAAGGCAAGUGGAUGUGAAUAAUGCCUUUUUGAAUGGAGAAUUGACAGAAGAUUUCUAUAUGGAUCAGCUUGAAGGUUUUAUUGAUCAACAAAAACCCAAUCAUAUAUGUAAGCUGAAGAAGGCCUUGUAUGGCUUGAAGCAAGCUCCUAGAGCUUGGUAUGACAAGCUUAAGAAUUGUCUGAUUGCUACUUGGAAAUUUCAGAAUUCAAAGGCUGAUACCUCUCUCUUUUUCAAAGAAGUGCAAGGCUCAAUGACACUUAUCGUAAUCUAUGUUGAUGACAUUCUAAUAACAGGACAUGUUAAUGAUGAGCUGGAAAAAUUCAUCUCAGAAUUCAGUAAGACUUUUGCCUUAAAAGACUUGGGAAUUCUAUCAUAUUUUCUGGGGAUAGAAGUUUCCUAUGUUGAAGACUGCAUCUAUCUAUCUCAGAAGAAAUAUAUCUUGGAUUUGUUAUCCAAAGCUGAUAUGCAGAAUUGUAAAGGCUGUGACACUCCCAUAGUUACUGGAUCAAAGCUUCAGAAAGAGGUCAAAGGCUGUUUGGCUCAAUAUAUUGAGGAUGCAACAAGCUAUAGAAGCUUAGUUGGAGGUUUACAAUAUCUGGUAUUAACCAGACCAGAGAUAACAUUUGUUGUGCAUAAGUUGAGCCAAUAUGUGACAGCUCCAACACUCCAGCAUGUUAUGGCUUGUAAAAGAGUUCUCAGAUACCUUAAGGAAACUAUAGAUUAUGGUUUGAAGUUUUCAGCAGGUGGGGAAAUGAAGAUCACAGGAUUUACAGAUGCAGAUUGGGCAUGUGAUGUUGAUGACAGAAAAUCAAUAGGAGCAUAUUGCAUCUAUUUUGGAAACAAUCUAAUUUUAUGGUCAUCCAAGAAGCAGGCUGUGGUUACACGAUCCAGUGCAAAGAGUGAAUAUCGUGCUCUGGCUUCUGCAAGUGCAGAGAUAACAUGGAUCCAGUCAUUAUUCAGUGAACUUAGCAUUAAGUGUACUUCAUUACCAACUAUCUGGUGUGAUAAUAUAAGUGCAACAGAGUUAGCUAAGAAUCCAGUUUAUCAUUCAAGGACUAAACACAUUGAACUAGACAUGCACUUUAUUAGAGACAAAGUUUUGGCAAAGGAGUUGGAGAUUAACUAUAUUCCCAACGAGGAGCAAAUUGUUGAUGCUUUGACAAAGCCUCUGACAUUCAUUCACUUCAAUUAUUUCAGGGCCAAACUCAAUGUGCAACCAUGCCCUUGAGUUUGAGGGGGGCUGUCAAGGAAGCUCAUAAUGCAUGGAAGGAUGCAGCACACGUGUGAGAUGAAUGCAGUCAGCUGAAUCAAUUGAAGAGUGAAGUGCCAGCUCAGCUGAAGUUAAUUAGACACGUUUAGAUCAUAUUCAGUUAGUUUCUUCAUUUUCUGUUAAGCUGUAAACAACUGAGUAUAAAUACAAGCAUCUUGUAAUCAUUGAAGUUUUAAGCAAAAUAAAAUAAAGCAUUUGAUUUCAGAAGUCUUUUACAAUUUUCUCAGCACUUGAAAAUACAUUUUUUCAGUAACCAAACAAUUUGUUCAUUCAAGCUUUUAAGCUUUCAAACGGGCAGGAAGUAAGGAAACCUGCAUAAAUUUGUUUUUCAGAAUACCAUCAUUUUGAAAGUACUACAGAAAAAGAAAAGGCUAAUGGCAGUAAAAAUUCACUUACUUUCCAAACAUAGAUUCUUUGGAAAAUGCCUUUGGAUAUUUCUCUGCUGGCUAGAUUGCAAAAUUAUCCACGAAUAUAUAUAAGAACAAUAUUUAUCAAGCCAAACUACUAAAAAUUCAAAAAAAAAUGCCCAUAAUAAUCAAGUAAAAAUUGCAGAACCCGGGCCAGAAAGCCACCCACUGCAGGGCCAAUAAUCAAUCCUGUGCCCCAUGCUGUACUGAGCUGAAAUUAUAUUGUACCUAAAAAUGUAACUUUUAGAGUCUCUAGCCACUGAUGAGGACACGUCUUUUGUCUGCUAGCGGAAAGCGCGUGACGGCAUGUUUUUUGUCAGAGCCUAGAGACGAAGAGGGAAGGAAAAAAAAAUAUCAUUAAUUUUUUUUCCUCUCUCGGUGGGCCCCACGUAAGGUGGGGCUUUGGUUUUUGUCGCAUUCUGUGGAGGGUGUAUAUCUAAAUCAACCCCUUGAAUACGGACACGUGUCGAUCUCAGAGAAACUCACGUUUUGUUGUUGGGACCCAUUAAUUCCCGUAAAAGUCCUAUUCUUAAAACAAGUCGAUACGAUGAUCAAUACUCCGCCUGUGGGUCCCGGCGACGACCCCCUACGCUGGGCAGUACAACACUCAAAAAUCGCCACGUGUUAUAUUUUAAAAAGCUUUGGGGGAGCGAAUCGAUAGAUUUUUUCUUUUCGUGACAAAGCACGCGGGGGGGGGGGCCUCCCUGGUGGAUUUGCCCGCCGUUGAUCAAUUUGUUUGAUGAUAAAGAUUCAAGCAAUCAUACACGAACUUGAUUCAAUGGAGCUUCAAAAGAUUGGCAUUGCAGUGAAGUCCUGAGUCUUCUACUCAUCUUUUAACAACCUUUGCAGAAGCACAACAACAGGGACAAAUUCUGCAUAAUCGGGAAAAGAAAAAUCAGAAGACGUCAUAUUGAAAUGCAUUCAUAUUAAUUUGACAAGAAGAGAAUCAAACGCAGACCUCGUUAAAAAUCUUGUAUGCAUACGCAUAUAAGAGAAGUUCAAUAAUUGCGACGCAGGAUCAUUGCCGAAGCAUUAAACAAAUACGAGGCAGAGAAAGAGGAGCUCUGAGGAAGAGCGUGUUAGUGUGGUAAUACAAUAUCCUCGAUGCUUGCUGAAUGGUGGACAGUGGCGUUGGAAUAUCAUCUAAUAAAAGGAGAGAAAGAGGUGGCAACUGGCAAAGUGGGUGAGUGAAAGUUCAAGGCUGAAGCGGUUGGCUAAACUUUGUUAAAAAGAUGCACAUAUUGAUAAUAAUAUACGACCGUACGUUGUCUGUUAACUUGGAACUCUUUAGCAUUUAAGCGAGUCUCUCUCUCUCUCUCUCUCUCUCUCUCUCUACGAUUGGGAAUUGGGAUUUCGGAUCGGGAUCUACCGUAUUCUCCGUCUAUCCUAUGCAUGUCAUCAUACAUCAGUAAGCGUGCGUGCCUCUGCGUCUCCCCCUCUCCUUUUUACACAACUAUUUACCGUUACUAUUUCUUUGUCAAUUCCCUUAUUUCGUGGUACUUGUAAUAAGACGAAAUUAACAAAGGAAGAAAAUGCUAAGGUACUUCAUUAGGCACAUUUCUCAUGCGUACUUGAAAGUAAUCAGAACCGUUGAUCUUUCCCCGAUGGGCCACCCACUGCAGGGCCAGUAAAAUUUUCUCAAGACCUUUGCAAUCAUACACGAACUUUGCAAUCAUACAUUCCUAAAGUUUGGUGUUUAUGGCGCAAUAUUUCACAUGCAUAUGCCUGGUGUAAGAGAAGUUUGAGCACAAAUAUUUGCAAGAAUUAAAUUGGAAUUAUCAACAAAUACCCCAAUCAAUACCUUUAUUGCUCCAAGUAAACCAUUCAAAGCCCCAAGGAGAAACCUUGUAGCUAUGGCCAUCCAGAAAUUCACACUAAGCCCAAAGAGAGUGUUAAAAAUAACCCUGUGAGCAUUUUAAGACAAAUAAGAAACCCAGAAAUUGCCAACGUAUCAUCAAUUUCAAGCUUAAUCAUUUGAAAAUAGAGGUCACUAACAAUGUGAUGCAUCCUAUUAUUAUUACAGGCUUUCGACCGAAGCGGUCAGCUCCCAUUCCCCACAAAAAAGAUGUUAAAGCUCUGCCAAGCAUGUAUGAAGACCCUUCAAUUUCAUCAAGGUAUUAAGAGGUUUGUCAGGAUGGCUUCUUGAGGAAUUUGAAAUGUUACAUACAUAUAUGUUAAUUAUUUGUCAGGAUGGCUUCAAUUUCAUCAAGGUAUAAAGGCGCAAGUCUGCAGUGUAAAACCCUUGUACAGUACCUUUACAGUGUCGUAAAGCCCUCGGUAGAAUGUUUUUACAGAGUUGUAAAGGCGCGAGUCUGCACAUUUGUACCAAAAAAGGACUCCAUACCAUGUGUCAUUUAUUAAACACAAUAAAAUUAUAAAAAUACAUAAAUUAACUCACCCACGUAACCAGCAUAGAAUCCAAUAUCUUCCUCCCUUUUUGCAAUGUGAAAAUCCCUAAUCUGAAAAGAAAUCAUAACAUACUGUUGUGAAAAAGCAAUGAAUUGUUUGAUAGAUAAAACUUGUCUUUUCUUAUAUUUCUAAGAAAAUCAGCAAGCAUGAUAGAAAAAUAUAAAUUUUCUCACUAGUAACUACUCUGGUGAAGGCAACAACAGUCCACUCACCAUAAAAUAAAGAAAGGGAAAGAGAGAUGCGACCGGCAGAACUGAAAAAAAAAAAAUCACCAAAGAAUUAAGGACAAAACUAGAAGAGCACAAUAGGCCAAAAUCAUUGUAAAUGGUUCUCUCAAAAAUCAUUAUAUCGAGUUGAAGUUGAAAAAUUUACCAGUUGCAAGCACAACAAUCUAAAUUAUAAAAAGCUUGCGAAUUGGUAAGCCUCGUUCCGACUCUUUAAGCUUAUCAACCUUACAGCCUGAGCAGUUCUCAUAAUAUUUCUUCUUCAGCAGCGGCUCUCUCACUUUCGCCUCCGCCAUACUUGAAAAAUUUUCAGCUCAAGUAAUCGUCUUAGUCUAUGCAAUCCAAUUUCAAUGCCUAAAUAUAAGUACUAGAAAAUAAGUAACAAAAUCAAUAUGCUUAAGGAUAUAGUAGAACUAUAUAAGUGAUCAUUUAAAGAAUUUUCAAUAGAAUUGUAAAAUCAGUUGAUUUUGCAGCUGGGUCUGUCACCACCAUGGUAAUUAAAAUUAUUGGAUCCCAUGUAAAACAAAAUUUUUUCAUUACAUGCCCUCAUUGCUGACGUCCAAUUAAUCAUUACUCUUGUGAGAAUAAUUUUUGGUGACAAGAACGGCGGCAUCCUAGGACGUGACAAAAUAGUCACAAAAAUCCCUUAUUUUAAAAAAUGAUCAUGAAAAUUUAUCCACGGACACACAAAUUCAGGAUCUAUGUAACUAUUUUUAAAUACAAAAAGAGGUCUAUAUAUAUAUUUGAAAAUAAGGGAUAUUCAUGAUUACCAUGUUAAGCCACGAGAUGUCGUGCUGUUUUUUUAUUUUUCAUUAAAUCGUUGUUACACAAUUCGACAUGUAAAAGUAAUUUUUUUUUUUUGAGAGAUGGUAACAAACAUAGUGACAAAACUAUCAAAGUACCGUCUAAUGAUGAAACUAAUUGUUAAUUAAUUAAUAAAAAUACUAAGGUGACGUUUGUUUUUUAACUUAAUGACUUAAAGUGACUUAACUUAAUUAAUUAAGUUAAUUAGAGGUGUUUGUUUUUAUAACUUAAUGAGACUUUUUAGAUAAUUUUGACUUAAUAAAAUAAGCCAAUUUUUUUAGUUUUUUACUUAAUGGAGAAAUUUGAAUUAAGUCAAUUACUUACUAAUGUCAAAAAUAUCCAUGUUUUAUAAUUUAUUUUUCAUGUCUAUCCCAAAACUCACCCAUAGACAUUUAUCCCACAUAAAAAUAUCCUUGUUUUUUCUUUCUUAUAUUAUAUAUGAUAAAAUUUAAAAUUUAUGGUAUUUUAUAUAUAUAAAUUCCAAAAUAAUUAUGUAUUCACUUGAAUAUAGUUUUACUUAUAAAUGUUAAAAUAUUGUGGUAUUUAAUAUAUUAUUUAUUUGACUUUCAAAUUUAAUAAGGAUACAAAAGUAAAAGUACAUAUUUUCAGUUGAAAAAAACAAACAACUUAAUACUUAUUUUCUGAGAUUCAGACGAAAAAACAAACAUGUUAUUUAGAUUCAGACAUUCAGAUCUAUUCAGAAUUCAGACUAAUUCAGGUCUAUUCAGAUUUCAGACAAAAAAACAAACGCCACCUAAGUGAUUGUAGCAGUUCCGGUCACAGUCACAGUCAAAUACAAUUAGGAUAAUUUAAUUUAAAUAAUGUGUAAUUUAGCGUUAGCCCCAAUUGUUUUGACAUUUUGCAUUGUGCCCCCCAAUCUUCCGACCAUGUCCACCACCCUCAUUUCUUUCAAAUCUAAUGUUAACGGAAAGAGGGGUAGAAUGGUAAUUAACACAAAAUUAAAAUAAUAUAUAUAAUUAAAAAAAAAACCCUUUUUUCCUUCGCCGCCUCUAUAAUUUAAUUUUGGGUUUGAUAUCUUUAGUUUUAAGAUUUUUGAUUAUUGAGUUUCUUUUUAUCGAAUUUUCUUAGUAUGAAUUUAUUUUGUAAUAGAAUUUUACAAUGAAAUUUGCUCUCAGGGAUUUUGGUAUCAUUAGUUUAGGGUUUCUUUCUAUUGGGUUUUAUUUAUUUUGGUGGGAUUAUUGGACUUAUUUUGUAAUGUACUGAUGAAUGUGUGUUUGAUUUUUUUCUUUCACAUUGGAAUCAUGCUUUGCCUCUGAUUUUGUAAUUUACUAGGUUAUAAUCUUGGGUUCGUAAUCCGGAAAAAAAUUGUUUCCAUAUAAUUUUAAAAAUAUUAUAAUAAAUUUUUACUUUUUGAUUUAAAUUUUAUUAGUUGUAAGGGUAUUUUAGUACUUAUAUACCCAAUUCAUUUCAAAACAGGGGGUAGUAUAGUCUUUUAAAUUUAUAACAGCCUAAAUAGUUAGAUUAGUUGAUUUUUUAAUAGAAAUAGGGGGAGGUGCACAUGGUCAAAAGAUGUGGGUGCGCUGUGUGAAAUACUGAACAAUUGGGGGCUGAUACUUAAUUAUCCUUAAAUAAAUUAUUAGUUUAAUGGAAGGAACAAAAUUCAGGAAAAGAGGAAUCAAACUGCAAAAGGAAUUAGGAUACCUGAAAAGAAAGAAUGAAAAUAACUUUUUUUUAAAAUUAUUUAUUUGGACAUUGUGACAAACAAGUGAUGUGCAUUGUUAAUUCUGAUUACCCCAAAAUGUCGAGUCUUUAAAAACGACAACAUUACAUGAUUCAUGAGAAUCCUAUCACUUUGAGAUUAAUUUAAUUAAAAAAAAGUUCCGUUUGCUUAAUACUAAAAUGUCACACUGAUCCAUAGUUGAGCCAAUUAUCUAGUUAAAAGCUACCUCCAUAUUUUUUAUUUUUACCCUAAUGCAUGUUUGAUUCUUUUAAAAUUUUACGUUAUAUAUAUUAAACAAAAAUUAUAAUUUUAAUCAUUGGAAAAUUAAUGACAGACAUCUUUUGAAUAAUUUUUUUUUUUGAAAAAUACAGAGCUAGAGAUAAUGCUAUAAUUGAUUGAAUAAGAAGGCUACAACUUGAUGAUAACCUUAUUGCAAUGUUGCGUGAUCUCAAUAUAUUAUUGGCUUUUGUGUGAGUAAAAGUUGCUGGCUCGUGUUUUACUAAUUUGCCUUUGUAUUUGACUGGCUCGACAAAGAAUCGAUUUACCUCAUACUCAAAUUACAAACAUCAAAACCGGAUCUGUCAUUACGUUAAUUGGCCUCCUAAAAUAAUCAAUCACUUUCUCUUUAGUCUACCAUCCACUCUUUCCAGUCGUUAAUUAUUCUGUACCCAUCAGCUCUUUUAGCUCUUUACGUCGUGAUAGAAACCCUUUUCUUGUUUCCUUCAUCUCAUCUGAAAAACACAAUUGCUUGUCCUAUCGCUGUCUCUUUGUUUUUACUUUCGUUUGGCCUUCUUCGCUUCUACGUUUUUGUCAGGCUUCGAGAUGCUGGAAAUCAUUGUGACUAUCGUCUUGGAACUUGUAAAAUGCUUGGCUCCUCCAACUGCACGCCAACUUGUUUAUUUGCGAAAACGGAACUACAAUGCCAACUUUGAGAAUAUCAAGGCGGAAAUGGAGAAGUUGAAGGUUGAACGUACGAGCAUUCAGCGCAGGGUUUCAGAGGCGAAAGAAAAAGGGAAAGAGAUUGAAGAGAAGGUUGAAAAGUGGCUGGUUAGUGCGAAGUGCGAACGGCAUCAUUGACCGGGCAGCCAAAUUCAUUGAAGAUGAGGAGUCAACGAAUAAGCGCUGUGUGAAGGGCUUGAGUCCUAUUUGGAAGAGUCGCUAUCAGCUUAGCAAGAAAGCAAAGACGGAGGUGAAGGCCAUUAUUGAACUUGGAGAAGAAGUUAAGAAGUUUGAUACUGUUUCCCACCGUACCAUUCGGGAGGAGAUAUGGUUACGAGGCCUUCGAAUCAAGACUUCCUACUUUGCAGUCUAUAAAAAAUGCAUUGACGGAGGCGAAUGUCAGCAUUAUUGGGGUGUACGGCAUAGGCGGCAUUGGAAAGACCACACUGGUGAAGGAGUUUGCUAGGCAAGCCAGGGAAAAGAAGCUGUUGUAUCGGGUGGUUUUAUCAGAGGUUUCAUAAACUCCAGAGAUAAAAAAGAUUCAAGGGGAAAUUGCAGAGAAGUUAGGUCUGGAGUUGUCCGAUGAAGCUGAAUAUAGAAGAGCUAGCAAGCUGUAUGACCGAUUGAAGAGUGAGAAUAAGAUUCUUGUGAUUCUAGAUAAUAUCUGGAAACAUCUUGAAUUGGAGACGGUUGGAAUUCCUUUUGGAAAUAAUCAUAAAGGAUGUAGAUUGUUGCUGACAGCACGAGAUAAUACUGUGCUUUUAAGUAUGGGCUCCAAAGAUAACUUUUUGAUUGGCAAUCUAACUGAACAAGAAGCCUGGAGAUUGUUUAAGAUAAUGAAUGGUGAAGAUGUUGAAAAUUGUAAGUUCAAGUCUACAGCAAUUAAUGUAGUUAAGGCAUGUGGAGGUUUGCCCAUUGCGUUGAGGGCACUGAGAAACAAGAGUCUCCAUGAAUGGAAGAAUGCCUUGCGAGAGCUCCGAACGCCUUCAAUGGUAAACUUCGAAGGUGUGUCUGCAGAGACUUAUUCAAGUAUUGAGCUGAGUUUCAAUUAUUUAAGGGAAAUUAUCAUUUGUAUACCCUUAGUUUACUCCAUUAUCAAAAAUACUACAAUACUUUGAGGGUGUAUCAAUUGUCCACCCUAAGUUGACAAAAUGUAUCAGCUGACCACCAAACCGUUAGUUGCCGUUUAAGUAUGAUGACGUCAGAAGGGUAAUUUGGUCUUUUCAUAUGAUACAAGUGAUAAUUUAAGGGUAUAUAAGUGAUAAAAAGAGAAUUUAAGGGUAUACAAGUGAUAAUUUUCAAGGGUAAGAUUGUCAAUUCACUGUAACUCCGUUAACUUUCAAACGGCAACUAACGGUUUGGUGGUCGGCUGAUACAUUUUGUCAACUAAGGGUGGACGAUUGAUACACCCUCAAAGUGUUGUAAUAUUUUUGAUAAUAGAGCAAAUAUAGGGUAUAUGAAUGAUAAUUUCCCAUUAUUUAAAAGGUGAGCAAGUCAAGAAAAAUUUUCUGCUUUGUCGUCUAGUAGGUAACAGUGUUUGGUUUUCAGACUUAUUUAGAUACUCCAUGGGUUUGGGCAUAUUUCAAGGAGUCAACAUUCCCUUCAUAUUUACCAAAGGUAAGUGAUAAAUCCUACAUAUCCCACUCAAGAAUGCAUAAGUUUCUUCAAUCUCAAGUACCUAAAGUUUUCUUCUACGUUUAUAAAAAUUUCAGCACCAUCUCCCUAUAAUUCUCCAAGCUCACGACAUAGCUAUAUAAGUGUUUAUGUGUUAUGCCAAAACAACACAUGACACCCGUUCACCUAGAACGUACCCAGAGAACACGAGGAGCAGCUACUGAAAAAGCCAUAUUUAUGUGGAAAGAAAACUUCAGCUACUAGCUACCAGAGAGAACUAUGCAUUCCCAAACUGUCCAAGCCUGGACAAUUCAAGAAUUAUUAAUAGACAUAUGAUCCUCACUAUCAUCCAAAGAUGACACUAAUACAACAUGUGUCUAUUAAUAAUUUCUUAAACAAGUCUAAGCUUUCAAUGCACGUAUCAAAAGUUUAAAAUUGAAUCUGAAAUUUGAAUAACACAUAAAUAUCAUAAAUCUCUUCAAUUUAUUCCUGAAACAAUGUAGCAUUAUUUCACACGUCAUUUCUUAAGCAAAACCAUAAAAAAUACAAACGAUAAAUACAUUUUCCCACUGAUGCAGAUUAUGUUUACUGAGUAAUAAGUUUUAUGUCAUUCAUGUUGAAAUACUUCUGCCUAUUCUUUCAACAUAUAACUAGUACGUACACACAAUUAAUAAAUUUAAAAAAAAAAACUGGUGGUGAAUCUUGCAAAAUCUUCCUUUUUUCUUUUUUUUUUCUUUUUCUUCUUUUUUUUGGGGGGGGGGGGUGUGUUGGGGGAACUAUGAAUCUUGCAAAUCCUCAAGAAGCCAUGUUAAGACAAGGCCAGCUUACUAUUAGGGUAUGAAAGAUAAAACCUUUUAUUUCCUUUUCAGAAUAAAAAGGACAUUGACAGUGUUAAAAAAAAUCUAGAGGAUUUCAGGCCUCCAGAUCCUUACAAAUCAAGGAUAUUAAAAAAAAUUACUUAAGAGGAGAAAGGUUAUGCUCAUUUGUAUCUUGUUAGAAGAAAUUGAUCCAAAGCCUCAGUUUUAAUUUGCUUCAUAUAGCCAAUGACUAGGUGUUUAAAAACCAAUGAAUAUUUUUAUAAGAAAUCAACAAUAUUAUUGAAAGAAAAACCAAAUAAAAAUAAUAAAGCCAAUGAAUAGAUCAAGGCUCUUUGUGGUCUAAAACUAAUCAAACUAAGUUGUGGGCAAAGGCGAAUAUGUUUGUUUGGUCAAUAAUAAGCUCAACAAAUCACUAAUAAUCACCUAAUCACUAUUCCUUAUGCUAUGCAAUAUAAUGGCCUGGGUAAUGGCGCCAAGGCAGACAAUAAGUAGCUAGCCAGUUAUGAUAGUUGAUUAACUUAACCUACUGGAAAUCUGAAGACCAAAACGAAGAAGCUUUGUCUAGAACUAGAAUAGGAACGUUCGUACCCAAAACUAAUAUACACAAUUAAGAAACUUGAUUAUAUGUAUAUUUCUGUUGGCCACACUUAAAGAGAAUUUCCAAAAGAUGCUAAGGUACACCAAAUCCCACUAUUUCAUACUCAUAAACACAAAAAACCAUGGUAAAAAUUAAUGACUAUAUCAAAUAAAAUCGGUGAUAGGACGUUGAGAUUAGGACAACUUGAUUUGUAUACCGUAAAAUAACUAUAUCUGCAUGGUGAACUAUAUUUCUGUUAGAACUCUGAAGUUUUCUAUUAAAUUUUUUUCUCUGUUAGGUAAACCACUUAACUGAAGUGCUUAAGCCAAUUUUGACAAUCAUAGACAUAAAAGUAUUAAUAGGCUCAUUCAAGUGAAAUGAGCAUUAUUUCACACAUCCUUUAGGUUUUUAAGUCAUUUAGAAGUCAUUCAUGUUAAAAAAAAAAAAUUCAUAUACUUUCAAUAUAAUUAGAACAUACACAAUUAAUUAAUUAAAUAAAUCUGUUUCAGCUAGUAUAGGAACUUAAUUAAUCAAAGCUAGUAGUUAUAGCUAGGACUUGAACGAGGCACCUUUCAAAGUUCAAGAAGAGCAUCUGAACAUAAUGAAAGCACUUUCUAGAUAUGGUAAUGAUGCUUUACAUCUACAUGCUCUUACACAAUAUGAACUUUCAUUUACUCCAAGCUCUUAUUCUACAAGUCAAUUCAGUUUGUAGAUGCAAGCCAUUGUAAAAACUUUUGUAUUAUAAUUUCUGAAAAUAGAACGUAACAUUAUUAAUAUAGAAUCAGCAAUGUAUAUAACUUAUCAGACAAUAUAACAAGCACUUGGUGAGCAUACAAGAUAAACUAAAAUUUAAUAAUAUGUGGAAUUAAAGAUAAACUAAAAUUUAUGUUUAAACAUAAAUUUAAAGCAAAUCGAAUUGCAAAACAUUAGAAUGGAUGUUGGAAUUAAAGCUAAAUUCAAUAGUAAUUCAAAUGAAUCCAUUUGAACUUUGUAAAUUCCGCAGAACAAAAUUAAUUUGAGUGAGCAAACUCACCAAUGGAACAAGAACACAGGGGCUUCAACUUGUAGGAAUAAAAAAAUAUUGCUGGCGGGACAAAAAUUGACAAUAACGGCUACAAUACGAAUUAAAAAAAAAAUCAAAAUCUAUAAUUACAAGCUAAGUAAGAGAAGAAACUCAUAAUCACAAGCUUACCUCAAAAGAUGAAGGGAGAAUACGAUGAAGAAGAAGAUGCCCGGUGUUUUACGCCGUUCGCCGGCAACCAGUUAGGUUUACGAUGGUGGCUAGUCCAGCGAAUAGUUUUCUAACUGGAAAUAAAUUUAAAUUUCUAAAAUAGUACUAUACCGAACGGCUCUUCACCGUCACGUGGUUAGCAACACAUGUGACAGCAGUGUGGCCGUCACAUAAAGGGUAACAAAAGCAACUCGGGGUUACAAAGUUAGAAGUUAGUGGCAUGCGUAAUGGCUGCUUUUGCAUUCACAUUAGGGGUCACAUAUACCCUAUUUUCUUGUAGUACAUGGUAAUUUCUAUUUGAAAAUUGCUAAGUAUUUUAGAUUUGUACGAAUUCAUUUUUGUGUGCUCGUUGGAUAAUAAUAUAUAGUAAAUUAAAUUUUUGGUGUAAUUUUUACAAUAUUGUAUUAGAAAUAUGUCUCGUUGAAAGGUUUUGAAAUCGUUUUGAUUGAUCAUAAUUGAUAUUUCGACAGUUGCAAAAGAUGCCAGAGAAAAUUUGAUUAUCUUAAGAAAUGAGUGCAUGAGAUAUGAAAUCAACCAUACCAUAAAAUCAAAUUUUAUCAUGUCAUCCUUCCUGGUUCAAAUUUAUGGAAACAAUAAUCAAAUGCAUCCAUGAACUAGUAUAUUCCGACAUAUGUACCAUCAAAUUUUUGCUAUAUCAUACUUAUAUAUGUAUAUUGAAAUUUUAAUAACAACAAUUGGGCCAAGCAUAUGUUGGUACUUGAAUAUUUAUAAGCUCCAUCCUUGAAAAAAUAAGGCUUGACUGUUCUAAAUCUAAUUCUUUUUGUUUUAAGUUCUUAAUUAAGCUUUCUUGCUUGUUUUCAAGAGCCAGUUUUGUAAUGAUCCAUAAACAUGAUUUGCAUAUACAGUAUUGCACUUGGCAUAUACAGUAUUGCACUUGGCAUUUAUGUAUCACUUAUUAAUUAGAUUUAAAUUUUAUAAAUUAAUUAAGCUGAUUAAUAUUUUAUAUGUGCACUAAAUGAUAGAUACUACAUAAAUUGGGACACUAUAAGUACGUAUCCCAACUAUGUAAUAUUUGUUUGUCACAAACCCAAUCAUGACCUGAUAUUCUGAAUAUUAUUUAGGAUACCAUUUCAAGCCCCAUGAGGGCUCUUUCCAUUAAAAAAAAGUAUGAAAUAGAUGUAGAUUUUUCUUUAGAUAUUAUUAGUGAGAGUACCUUUGGUGGCAGUGGUCCGGGAUGAUUUGGGAUUUGACAAUUCUACUCUCAUCUUAAUUAUCAAAUGAAAUGUAAGUAGAGAUAAACUCGUCUUGUUUAUAUAUUUGUGAUCAAAAUUAGGACCAAUAUCUAACCACUCACAAUCAUGUCCCAUCCUAACUAUCCUGAAUGUCUCGAUUGCCUCCCUUAAUUAUCUUUUUAAUUCUCAUUAACAUAUUAGCAAAAUUUUCAUAUAUUAAAAAUAUUAGGGUCCGACCAUCUAUACUUUAAAAAUCAUUAUGAACACUCAAUUAUUUAUGCACUCAGCUAAUAAAUUUAAAAAAUUAAGUUUUACUUUCUACGCUUUUUUUUAGGAGUACUUUCUACACUUUUUAAAAUAACAAAAACAUCUUUACAUGAACCUAAUAAGCUUAUUUAAAAAAAUUAAAUCAACUAUUUUUAUUUAUUCAAAAUACUAAUAAAAAUAUUUAGCAAACCGUGAAAGAAAUUUUUUAAGAAAUUUAACACGAUUUUAGUUAUUACUUAUUGUUUAUUAAAGAAUGUGUUCACUAUUGUUUUUAAUUUUGUUAGUAAAAAAAAAAGAAGAAGAAGAAGUUUGGGUUUAAGAUACAUUUAAUUUUUAGUGUAACAGUUGUAAUAUAUAGCUUUAUUUACCCAAGUGGGCAAUACAUUUAAUUUUUAGUGUAACAAUUUUAUUCAUACGAUGCUUUUAAAACUAAAAGUACUUUUAAAAAUAAAUUUUACUAAAUGUUCAGCUGAUUCUCUUGACAAUUGAUCAAUUUCUACAGCAUAGCUAAUUGUAAUUAUUUUAAAAGCUACAGGAUUACCAAAUUGACCCUAAAUCAAACCAAUAAAAAUGUUUAAAAGUAAUAAUUAUAAACCAAAGUAAACGUACAAAAAUUCAUGCAUAAAUUGAUAAUCAACAAAAACAUCCACAAGUUUAACUCCAAGUUUUCUAUUCAAUUGACAUAACCCUUAAAUUUCAAAAGGCAUAAUCAAUUUUGUGUCUAAUCCUAUAAAAUUAGAAAAUUAAAGAAUAUUAUAUACUGAUAAUUAAAUAAUAUGCAAUUAAUAACGUUAAAAAAUAAUGUUAAACAUAUUGUCAACUAAAAUAAUUGGGAGAAUUGGAGUUCCAAGAUAAAUUCUUAUCUAGUCCCAAAUCAGCAAUUGGGAUUAACGAGCUACUAUUGAAAUUAAUGUUAACAACAAAAAUAGAUGCAAAAGGAGAAACAAGCAUCGUGUACAGUACCCACUGUGAACUGCUCACAUUGGAAUAAGUUGUUGGCAGCUGGUCAAAAAUUCAAUGUUGAUUUUGAUCCCACUAAAUUAAGUCAUCAAAAAUUACUUUCCGUACAAUGAUGAUUGGGCUGCAUAUAUCAUUUAUUAUUAACUAACUUAUGAAAUGCUUUAAAUGUACCUCCUAGGUCGUAUUAUUUACUAUACUAGUUAGGAUAAAUUGCAAUGUUAAAUUAUUUGAUAAAUACUUAUUAUAAUUUAAUAAAUAUGUUAAUUUUGUCCUCCACUUUAUGAUAAAAAAAUUUAUAAUAUAUAUAAAUCAUUUAUUCUAUAAUCUUAAACUUUAUUAAAGUUCGAAAAACUAUUACUCUAUAUGAUAUAAUAGUGUGAUGUAAUUACACUAUUAUACCAUAUAAAAUAUAUUUGCUUUCUUAAAUUUUAAUAAAGUCUAGGUCUUGGACAGAAACACUUUAUAUAUGUAUGUAUAAUGAUUCUCUAGCAACGACAUUCUCAUUUUAACAAAGUAAUAAUAUCACUAACAAACUAAAUAACACAUAUUUCAAUACACCAAUAAAUAAAAAAAUAAUUUUUAAUGUGUUAAAAUAUGUCUUUUGUAUAUUAUUGAUAUUUUCACUUUAACAUAGUGAGGAUCUCCUCACUAUAGAAGUACUUUAUAAAUAUUCUUUGUAUUUUAGUUCUAAGCUCUGUUUCGUGUAUCAUCGACACAAUGAGGCAUAGCAUCUAAAAGUCGGCAGCCAUGCAACUUCUUGGAAUCUUCAUGCAAGUGUUGGAUAUCGACUGUUCGAUAACGAUGGCAGCAUUGGACUGGACUGUAAUUGACGCAGAUAUUGUCAGAUAUUUCAUUGAUUAAGGAUCACAAAUAAUGGCUAUUGGAUGAGGAUCACAUGUUUUAUGACAGUGGUAAUGGCAUGCUACUAAUGUAAGUCAAGCAUUACUUUUAAAUAAUGAUAUUAUAAUUAAAAAUCUAAAAAUAUUUAUAAUACCUAAAGACUAAUUCAGAUUAUUAAUUUGUUUAUAUGACUUAAUUAUUAGCUGACAAAUAAUUAAAAAGUCAUGGAACAAUAUUUAAUUGACGCAGUGGAAUAAGGAUCACAAAUAAUGGAUAUUGGAUGAGGAUCACAUUGGAGUGUUGUGAUACAACACAUAUUCACAAAAGCGUUGUUGAUGAAGUCUAGUACUCUAAUGCUACUUUAUUAUGUGGGGGCAGAGCAGUAAAUUUCAAAGCGAAAUUAUAGAUGUGUUUUAUAAUGGGAUUCAUAAGAUUUUAUUUUUAAAAAAUUAGUAAGGUUUAUUGAGAGUCUCACUAUAGCACAUGAGAAAAUAUCAUUAGAGAAGUUCAUCAUGACCUAUCUCGUGUAAAUUUCUCUUCUAGCAAUUGUGAAUUUGAGUUUAGUUUUAGGGCUCAUUUAAACUAUGGUACCAUAGUGGUGCCAUAUUAUAAUUGGGUCUAACCAUUGACAACUCUGAUGACUACCGUAGAGUGGAUUCAAUGGUACCACUUUAUCAGGUAUUAUUAAUUUUUAUUUCAAAAAUUGAAACUUUCAGUUUAUUACAACUGACAGCUGACCCCACACAUUUCGAUGAUUAUAAUUUAGGCCAAAACUACAUUGCGUCGGGGGUUUGGUACCCCACUCCUUUGUCUGUUAGCAAGGUCAGCGUUGGAUUUGAUCUGACGGCUGCAGAAGGGACACAAAUAUAAAGAGGAGUAACCUGAGGUAAAGGUAAUAAGCCGGUCACCUGCAGAAAAUAAGUGUAUGAUAAAAUAACACAUGCAAUAAAUUUUGUUUGUUUUUUUUUUUUUUUUUUGAGAAGACACAUGUAAUGAACUUGCUGGAAGCGUAUAUGCAAGUAAUGGUUGGAAACAACUUGCUGGAACCGUGCAAGUAUUGGUUGGGCUAAGACUGACAUGAAAUUUCCCCAAUAGUGUCCAAAACAUUUGCAAAUAGUUAAUUCAAAGCGUAAAUAAAUGCUGGAAAAAAUACGUAUUUUUUAUUUUAUUAUUAAGAAUACAUCUUUUGAUAAAAAAAGAUAAAUGAUUAAUGGUACAUAUUAGUAACAAAUAUACUAAAAAAAUUAUCCAUAUAUUUGAAAAAAAAUUGUUAACAAUACAUAUUUUUUAGAAGUACACAUAUUAUACCAUACAAAAAUUGAGUUGUAUCAUGGACAGCCAUAAACUAUGAACAAAGAUUACGAUCGAAACUCCACAUGCAUAUUUAAUUUGUACAUUUUUUUCAGAAUGCGUUUCCCACCAUGGGAAUAACCAAGGUUCUUCAGGCAAAACACUACGGUAAUUCAUUAUCAUAGACAGGAAAAAGACAAUGGCAAAGAUCAAUAAUUUAACACAUAAGAAUGAGUGAAUGACAACAUCAAGUGAGAACCAUGCACAAUCCUUUUUAUUAGAGAUCCUUUCUUAAAUCUUAAAUAAGAACAUUAAAUAAGCUUGAAAAAUAUUGGUAACUGACCCAAUACACAUCCAUCUAACGGAAAACAGCGGACAAUUUGAUGCAUGUGUGGAGCACUUGAGGAAACAGAGCAUCCACAGAAUGCCUAAAUUUGAAAAAAAAAAAAGAAAAUAUUUGCAUUUGACGAAAAGGACUUUGAGCGUUCAAAUACAAAGUGUCAAUUAACCUUACAAGAUACAUCAACCAUCAGAUAUGCUCAACAUGCAAUACCAAAUUAAAUUACCUAUCUCCAGGGUUGGAUUUGUCUUCAAUCAGAUGAAUGUUGGAGAGAAUAUAAUUGAAAGAAUGGCAUCAUCUACCAUGCAAGGUAAGGCUCCUUACAGGUGCUCAAUAUGACACCACAAAAGAAAAUACAAUAUCAUAGACACAUCACCAACAUAUAUGCAAACAACCAAUUCUCACAGCAUGUAGUGCAACAACUCACAAAAUAUGAAAUUUAACAUCAUCUAAGCAUUUUUCUCAUUAAAGAACCUAACUGAAAGUAGUAAACAUAGAGACAUAUAACAGCUUUAUAAGUACAGACCACAAAGUAGAACUUUGUUCGAAUGAUAACGAUCAUAAUCCACAUUAUAAACGCAGUGAAAUCAUCAAAUGAAAAUAAGAACACAGUACAUAAUUACACAGAUAUUAGGCUUAAUUAAUUAUUUAGAUUAAAACACCACUUCACACAGCUUCCUUAGCUGGAAUCUUCUCAUAUCUCAUCUUCUUAGGGCUCAAAUCAUCAUCAUGAUCAUCAACAUCAGUGAAUUCCUCAUACGAAUUGCGAGAAUCGUGACGAUUAGCAAAAAGGCUCCACACCAAAUACAUGGUAAUGUCAGUAAGCGAACUGCACCCAACGCCGAAAAGAAAAGCGACUGGUUUGGUCGCAUAGAGAGGAGAAGUCGUGCUCGAAGGGCAAAAUGCGACGUUUUGGCUCGUGGAUGAGGUGCUGCUCCCAAUCAUCGAUUGAAGGGAGAAUCAGACAGUCGAGGAAGAUUAAGGGACGAUGGGGGCUGAAUUGGCAAAUUUCGGUGAAGAUUGUGACAAAUCUAAUGGGGUUUUCGGAGUUAGAGUUAGGGCAGCGGGAAUUGAAAUGGAUCAAUUAAGAGGAAAUGAAGAGGGUUUUGCAUGGCCUUUUGGAGGCUGAAAUUGAGAGGACACCAUGAAUAUUGUGAGAGCUAGGAGGAGACGCUGAGUCGAUGACGCCAUUGAUUCGUACCACACAGCUUCGAUUGGAAAUGGAGCCUCUAAUUGCUUUAGCCGGUUACCCAUUUUUCAAGUGUUAAAUCUCAGCCGUUGACUACCUUUCUUUACGAUCUAAAGGGUCAUUCGCAAAAGGACAAGCGACUGGGGUACCAAACCCCUGAUGCAAUGUAGCUGGAUCCUAUCUUUCAUUCACAAUAUGCCAGCAAAUGUUAAUUACGAAUAAUUUAUGUCCUUCACCCCUGACAUUGAUAUUAGCAAUUUUCAGUUAAAAGUUAAAUCAUCCCAGCAUUAGCAUUUUUUCUUAAUUAGAGUUGAAUAAUUAUGCCCAAUUGUAUAACAUCAUUUUAAUUAAUAGAUUAGAAACGUGAUUCACGUUUGACAAUAAUUUUCUCUUUUGCUGUUUUGUCGUUAUAGUUUACUGAGACGAGAAGAAAUAAUUGCUCGUUUGGAUACUCUCUGUAUUCACAUUUGACAAAAUAAAUAAAUAAUUUCUUUUUACUGUUUUGUUCCUUUUACUGUAUGAUAUUGAACAAAAUAAUUUUUUUCAGAUCGCUCAAUAGAAUUGCUUCAAAUCAGUUUUACCAGUUAUAAUUCAUCAGCUCCUACUCUUUGCGUUCAAUUCUCAGUCAAGAAAACCUCUCCUGAUUUUCGUCUUUUGAUCUCAUACACACUCUGCUUCUGUUCAUCGUGGUCGCUGCUCGUGCUAGCCGUUUUCUUAUUUAGCUUUGCUCCCUUCUGCCAUCACCUCUCUGUAUACUCAUUGGAUCAAGAAACCCUUUUCUUGUUUCAAUUUUCUGAUC